rnacentral:lncRNA from 1 species
AUCUUAAACUUGAAAGAUUAUAUAUAUAUAUAUAUAUAGAGAGAGAGAGAGAGAGAGAGAGAGAGUUGAGCUGGAAUACUAUCGGUAGCAAAUGAGCUCCGUUGCCACCCAUUUGUUUUCGAUGAUGAAGCCUCAAAAUCGACGAUCGGUGCCGUUGAAAAUGAUUUAUAUCACUUGAAGUAUCUAGAAAUUAAAUUUCAUGCUUUUCUGAUAUUGUUCUCUUGUUCAUCAAGUAGGCGUAAAAAUGAACGGCUGAAAAUAAAUAUCCUCUAAAAAGUGAUAAUAGGAAUUUGAUUAUAAUAGAAAUUUUGUAAUCAAGAUCGAGAGUAUAGAUCUUGUUCUAAAUAGUUUAAAGAAUUUUCUAACCAAAAUUCAAUUAAUUUGGAUAGCUUUACAUCGUUAAACGAGAAAACGCCUCAUAUCGACCAUUAAAAUUAUAAAUUUUGAAACCUUUUGAACAUUAGGUCAAUGAUGUCGAAAAGAUAUGAAAUUUGAUUUCUAAACACUUCAAGUGGUAUAGAUCAUGUUCAACGGUGCCGAUCGUCGAUUUGGAGGCUCCAUCAUCGAACACAAAUGGGUGACAACGGAGCCCGUUUGCUAUCGAUAGUAUUCUAGCUCAACUCUCUCUCUCUCUCAAAUCAUGUUCAACGGUGCCGAUCGUCGAUUUGGAGGCUCCAUCAUCGAAAAUAAAUGGGUGACAACGAAACUCAUUUGCUAUCGAUAGUAUUCUAGCUAGCUCAACUCUCUCUCUCUCUCUCUCUCUCUCUCUCUCUCUCUCUCUCUCUCUCUCUAUAUAUAUAUAUAUAUAUAUAUAUAUAUAGUUCGGCUACUAUACUCUUAUGAGUACGAUCGCCUUCGUACUCAUAAGUUGUUUUUGAUGAUAGAGCUUCCGAAUCGACGAUCCAUUCCGUUAAACAUUAUCUAGAGCAUUUAAAACUUCUAGAAAUCAAAUUUUAUAAUUUUUCAAUAUCAUUUAUCUUACGAUCAAAAACUCACAAAAUUGACAAUUUUUAAUGACCGGUAUGACAUAUUUGCUAGUUUAACGGUGAAAAAGAAUCGGAAUAUAUUGAAUUUUUUAUAGAAAAUUCUAUUCACUACCUAAAUAAAGAUCAAUAACUCCGAUCUUAAAUUGAAAAAUUCGAUCAUCCAUUUUUAGGAUGUAGUUCGAUUUUAACCGUUCAUUUUAUACCCGCUUGAUAAACUUUAUAAUGAUUUCGAAAAAUUAUGAAAUUUAUUUUCUAGAAGUUUCAAAUACUCUAAAUCAUAUUUAACAGUGUGGAUCGUCGAUUCGAAAGUCCCAAUAUCGAAAAUAACUUUUAAGUAUGAAGAGCUCUAUACUCAUAAGAGUAUAGUAGCCCUAUAUAUAUAUAUAUAUAUAUAUAUAUAGGAACUGUAAAUAUUCAAAAAAAAUAUUGCUUCCACAGUUACACCACAUCUUGUGUACCACAUCAGUUGCAUUGUUUUUGGAACUGCACUCUCUCCAAAUCACAAUUUUCAUGGUGGGAUUAUUUUUAUAUGAAUAGCAAAAAAUGGUGAACCAUGAAAAGCAAAAGGCAGUUCAAUUUUUAUAUCCAAUUUGUUAGAUUUUUCUUAGAUAAAUAUUUUUCAAAAGAUAGAUUUUAUAUGAAAUACUUGAAAUUUGAGCUUUAACGAAAGAAAAUAUUUAUACAUGUCGGCUUUAAUGAUGUAUAAUAUAUAUGUGUAUAUUUGUAUGUGUCGACUUUAACGAUCGAUGUUCCAAUGUUGUGACUAAUUUUAAUCAUGCUCCUCGUAUUCUUAGGCUUAGUUUGAUAUUGAGAUAUUAAAUAAAAUAGAGUUGAGGAAAAGACAUAUAGGGAUAUGCUUCUGCGUUCUCUGGUAGGACCGCAGAAAAUAUAUCGUAACUGACUCAUCGCAAUAUACGGAACACAAUAUUACAAUAUUAUGUAUAGAAACAGGAUAUUUUUCCAACGUACUUUCUCAUCGCACGUAACGCAAUCUCCCCGCAAUUCCAAACGAAACCUUAAUCCGCUUGGUUGAGGGUUAAGGGGUGGAAUAACCUCUUAACCCCUAUUUUAUUCCUAAACACUUCUAAAAAUGGGUGGGGUUAGCUAACCUCACCUCAAAUGGGUUAUCCCGGAUUAGCUAACCCCACCUAACCCAACCAAACCCCAACCAAAUACUAUUUUCUAUUCAUAAUAACCCACUAUCCUUCUUAUCCCACCUAUUCCAACCAAACACUAUUUUUCACUAUACUGGCUUAACUCUAACCUCCAACAAACACAAAAAUACUUUAACCCCAUCUUAACCCUAAACUUAACCCUAUCCCUGGAAUAACUAGUUUUUUCUUAACCCCGAACCAAACGGUAGCCGAUCAUGUUACUGUACCCAUACAACUUUAGACAACACUGGUCAAUCAUGCUUCAAAAUUCUUAAAAUUGUAUAUUUAAAUUAUCAAAUAUGACACAUUUAUAAAUUUUACGAUAUAAAACAAUUAAAAUUAAAUAAAAUUUUAUAGAAAAAAAUUUUACACUAUUUAGAUUGUGUUCGGUACCUUUAACUUGGUAUAGAUUGACACAAAUAAUGUUAAAAAAUUAUACAUUUUAAUUUUCAGAUGCCUUCAAUAGUAUACAUCAUAUGUAACCGGGCAAAUUGUCUAUUUGGAGAUCUCAUGCAUUAUCUAAAAUAAUUUGAAAACACGAACCCUCCGUUUGGUUCGGGGUUAAGAAAAAAAUAGCUAUUCCAGGGAUAGAGUUAAGUUCAAAAUUAAAGUAGAGUUAAAGUUUUUUUGUGUUUGGUUGGAGGUUGGAGUUAGUCUAGAAUAAUAAAAAAUAGUGUUUGGUUGGGUAGGUGGGAUAAGAAGAUAAUGAUUGAUAAAGAAGGAUAAUGAUUGGUUGGAGUAGGUGGGGUUGGAGUAGGUGGGAUAAGAAGAUAAUGAUUGAUAAAGAAGGAUAAUGAUUGGUUGGAGUGGGUGUGAUAAGAAAGAUAGUGGGUUAUUAUGAAUAGAAAAUAGUGUUUGGUUGGAGUUUGGUAGGGUUAGGUGGGGUUAGCUAAUCCGAGAUAAUUUAUUUGAUGUAGGAUUAGGUGGGGUUAGCUAACCCCACCUAUUUUUUGAAGUGUUUGGAGAUAAAAUAGGGGUUAAGAGGUUAUUCCACCCCUUAACCCCCAACCAAACAAGAGCGAAGAGUUCGGUGCAUUCAAAAGUUUUAUAGCUCCACUCUUCCAUUAAAAAUCAAAUUUGGUGUUUGGUAAAAUGUUGCUCUUAAUAUUAACUAACAUAAUACCGAAGAGAUUCUGAAGACUAGAUUUUGAUCCUCGUACAAAAAAGUAAUAUUAUCUGUACACUCCUUUAUUGGACGGCUAUUAAUGCUUCAUCUUUGAAGCAGUAUUAUUCUAAAAUUUUGGAUAAUUUAUAAAAAACUUAUAAACUUUAGGGUAAACAACUGCAUGUUUGAUUCUCAGGCUGUGAGCGAGGUGAUAUUCUGAUCUUCAAAUUUUAAUUAAUUAUAAUUUCUAGUUCAAAAUUUUAAAAUUAUUAUAGAUUUUCAAAUCUAUAAGUUAAAUUUAAUUUUUAACAAAUAUAUAAUAAAUUUGAAGAGUAAAAUUUCACUCGUCCCGUAGUUCGGAAACCAAACAUGCAAAUCACUUGUAGCGACACAAAAAAAUUGUCGGAUCGUUAGCGCUAACCAUUAAUCCCAGAAGCUCAAGCUGCUAGAAAUACGCAACUAAUUCACUUAAAGUGUACAGAUACAACGUUCGAACAUGAUUCGGCCCAUCUAACCUCACGCCAUUUCGAACAUGACUCGACUCAACAUGAUCUCUCAGCCACGGCACAGAAUGCCGGUCCAUUUAAGCCGCAAAAAGUGAUCUGUCAGUGCUUUUCCGAAUAGAGCUACUCGCCGCGCAUGGAAUUGUCACGUGACUCGGCACGGGUUGGGGCUCGGGAGGGAGGCACGUGGCGCGAGACCCAAUAAGGAUCCGCGAGAACCGCCGCGUCACGGGGCUCCGCACGUGCCGCCACAGGGACACGCGUAAAGCGCAGAUGAGACCCGCGAGAAAGCAACCAUUCGAAUGUUGCACCACCUCGAAUCUCGGGCCCACCACGUUGCUUGCUGUAUACGAAUCCUGUUCAUAGUAACUGGAAAAAAAUAUAUAAAUAAACUUUAAAUAUUAUUUCCGUAAAUUUCGUACUUUUCUAUUUUACUGCCGGUUAAAACAAAUCAAUUUAGUAUUUUUUUUUUUUUUCAUCAAAUUCUUCGUUAAUAUUUUGUUAAAUUAUAUAUAAAAAUUUUUAAAUACCACAUCUAAAAUUAUCGAAUAUUUAUUUUAAUAUCUUUUUAGUUUUAACUUUAUCAUUGAUUUAACGAAAAAAAUUAGUAGAAAAAAAAAAUAAAAAAAAAUAAAAUUAGAGAUACGAAAUUAAUAUAUUUUAAAUUACAGAAUAUUAAAAUUUUAAAAAAAAUGAAAUUAUAAGCGUGAUAUUUAAAGUCCCCCCCCCUAAAAAAGGACAUUAGAAAUAAGUAAAUUACACUUUUCGUCCUCAAACUAUGAGCCAAGAUUAUAGUUUGAUUUCCAAACUUUAAUCUAGUAAUUUUUCUUAAAAAAAAGUAAAAAUUUCUCUUAUAGAUAGGAUUCAUUUAAUUCUAACAUAAAACUGUAAAAAAUAAUUUUUUGUAAAAAAAAUUGAUAGAGAAAAAAAUUUACUUUUUGUAGUACUUGAUUUGCGCGAAAAAAAUAUAUUUUUUCAUCGAUAUUUGUUUGCUUGAAAGAAAAAAAAUUUAUAUUUAUUUGAUACGGUGAAAAAAUAUGAAUGAAAAAAAUUUACGUAGCUUGAAUUUUCGUUUUCUACUAAAAAAAUAAUGAAAAAUAAAAACUUAAAUUUUUCUCCAAAUCUGUAAAAAUAUUUUUACGAAAAAAUAAUUUUACGUCAAACCAAACAAGCGUAAAAAUAUUUUUCAUACCGAACAAUUUUAUGAUUUAUUUUAUACGGAACUAACUUUUAAAAAAUUGUAAAUGUUUCUCCCAUAGUUAGCGAUUUUUUAGUUUAAUACACUGUAGUUCAAGCAUAUAACUUAGUACUUUCUAGUUUCAUUUUCACUAUCUGUUGGUCCCUUAAUUUUUUUUGUAAAAAUAUAUAAAAGAAACUUAAAAUAACAAUCCAGUGGUUUACCACCUUCUCACUUUAAUACCCUCUAAUUUUAACUUUAUUAUUAGUUUAACUAAAAAAUUAACAAAAAAAAUAAAAUCACAGAGUAUUAAAAUGAGACAUUCAAAAUAUGAGAGUACUAAAGUGAGAAUGCUAAACCAUAGAAAAGAUAUUUGAAGUGUUUCUUAUUCCAUAACUCUAACUUAAUUGAUAAAAUAUUAACAAAUUAUUAUUCUAGAAAUUAUGUAAAAAUAUUAUAAUUAAUGAUACAAUAACAAUUAAGAUGCUAUAUUAUUAUCACAUUAACAAUGUUUUCAAACCAAAAAUUGCAACAAUGACAAAUUUAAAGACCAAAAUAUCAUGCACCGCGUAAUUUAAGAACCAAAAGUGCAAAUUACCCUCAGCAGAGUGUGAGAUGGGUUCACCCAACAAUAACAUUGCUCUUAUAGAAAACUUCUUGUUUGAAAUUGGAUUAUUCUCUCCUUAUUAUUAGUUUUUUUUUCUUUUUUCUUUUUUUUUUUUUGCCUACUCGGAAACUAUAAUUUUAUGGUUAACUUAAAGAUACUCUGUAUCUCAAAACAUUGUAAAGUAGUUUCGUGAUUAAUCGACUUCAAACAACCCUAUUAACUAAAGCACUUGUACACACAAACACUUCGCAGCAAAGUGUUAAGUAGAAGAGAACCAAGAGCUUAGACUUGGUAUUAUGUAUUGUAGUAUGUAUGCAUGUACGUACAUACACACCUGAACUUGAGUUCUUUACCAUAGGAUCUUUCCCUACCUUUGAUUAUUAUCCCCCACCUUUAUUUGGUUCACAUCUAUUUUUUGUGAAAAUAAUAACAGAAAUAAUAAUAAUAAUAAUAAUAAUAAUAAUAUGUGUGCUUUAAAAAAAAUUGUUUUCGAUUUGAAAAUUGUUAAUAUCGUCGAGCUUCACAUCUAUAUUUGAAAACGAUUUGAAAAUUGUUAUUAUUAAUAAUAAAAAAUAAUUGUUUCCGAGUAGGUUUGAAAAUUGUUAUUAUCUAUAAUCGAAAAUAAUAAUAGAUUUGGAAACGAUUUGAAAAUUGUUAUUAUUAAUAAUAAUAAUAACAGUAAUAAUAACAGUAAUAAUAAUAAUAAUAAUAGUAAUAGAUAAAAUAGAGUUGAAUGUAAGUAUAUUAUACUUCUGAAUUUUUCGAUUAGACGAUAAAAAAUAUAUCGUAACUAAUUUAUUGUGAUAUACAAAACAAAAUAUUAUGUACAAUAUAAAAAAAUAUUUUAAAAAAUGCCUGACACUGACACAGUUAGAAAAAUGAGUUGCUAAAGAAUGGAAUUGGCCAAAUCUAGUGAUUUGGAGGUAUAGUAGUAAUCAAUUAUCACUCCAUAUAAAUCUUUUUUUCAUUAAUCCCCUUCACUAUACUCUGCAAAUUCACACUCUUAAUUAGGGACUCUGCUUAAUUUCAAAAUUGAACCCUAUUUAUUUAUUUUCACAAAUAUUUUAAACCAAAAACAAAUAUCAUGAAAAAUAAGAAAGAUCAAAACUAAAAAAAUAACUUUACAAACCUAUACAGCCGAAGAAGGAGAGGAAAGAAACCGAAACCGAGCUCUCAAUCUUCGGGGCGUUGGAUCUCGCCCAUCAUGAUGCGAUUGCUGUGGACCUUGAAACCCAGAAGCGACGGGUCGAUUUGCCGACCCUUCUUCCCCUUUUUCUUAAUGUUGCUCUUGCUGCCGCUACCCUGCAUGGAUUCUGAGGAGUCGGAAGGAGCAGAAGCAGACGCGUCGGCUUCCAGUGUGGGCUUUUUGCUGGUGCUCUUCAGCAUGUCGAUGAAGGAAGGCUCCGACGCUCCGGCAAUGAUGCCACCUGACGGCACUCGACGAAAUGUUGCAUCUUUCUUGGCAGACGAUGGAACGUCUGAAACGCCUCCAGGUUCUCUCUUAGCAUCUGCAUGUCCACGAAUAGAUCAUAAGCUUAUUUUUAAAUGAAGAAUUAAAUGCUUACUGAAGUGCACGAAGUUUCCUUUUUUUUCCCUCUUUGAAAGGAGAAAAGAGUUCUAACAAUUCGAUUAUGAAUAGGCAGUUUCCUCAUAGAAUAUAAACCUAUCUGAAACACACACUGCAUAAAUAUCAACGCACAUACUGUAGAGCAUCAAUAGAAGCAUAUACAUAGACACGACAAAAGUAUACGCGCAUAUGAGGGUAAACUUCAUUAAGGGCCCAGUGGUAUUGGGCAUCUCAUUCUAGUUUUCUGUACUGACCUUUCUGUUGGUACCAUUGGGUUUUGCUCCAUGAUAACCAGUUUGGAUUAUAUUUUGGUUCAGGUUUUGAACUGACCCAAUCAUGUAAGAAUUUGGUUUUGGAUUUGAGUUUUGAACAAAGUAUAUAUCAAAAUGCAACCGUGACACAAUCCAAACCUGUUCAUUUGGAUCAAAACCCAUUCCAAAACAGUGCUGACAGGAAGUCCUUUCAGAAAACCAGAAUAGCACCCUCAAGUGAGCUGAAGUGAUACAAACAAACCACAAUGCAUCGAUGUGAAAAUGCACUAUACACAUGGCCCCUUUUUGAAGUUUACCAUACAUAUAAACAUGCAUCUAGAUUGUGUGCACAAAAGAGAUGAGAGAGAGAGAGAGAGAGAGAGAGAGAGAGAGAGAGAAGGGGGCUUUAGGAAUCCUUACCUUUGACAGGAAGAGUAGAAACUAACUCCGAAAAUGCAGCCUCUGAUGAAACAGAAGCUCUCUGAUCAUGGGCGAGCUUUAGUGUUGAACUAUCAGUCCCCUUCAGAGUAGCACUAGAAUUCCUAUCAGGAAAAGAGUUUAAGCAAAAGUGAAGGUAAUUUAGCUAAUAGUAGAAUUAUAUAUCCACUACGAUUACAUUGUCAUUAGCUACUUGGUCCAAUAUAAAAUCAAGGAACAGUGAGAUAGUUAAUUCUUUAACAACUCUUUUACUUUGCGAUGUCAUUCUGGUAGUUUCAAUUUCAUCUCUUUCCUCUCAAAAUUGUUUAGCAGUUCUUCGACCAUUUACCAAUACCCGAACUAUAAAAAACCCUGAAAAAUCAAUAGAAUUUAGUGUUCCCAGAAAGCAGUCUAAUACAAGUUAACCUACUUUUCGGAAACUCUAAAGCAACUAUUUUCCGAGAGUAUGAUUAUUUCAAUUCUUCCUAUCUAAUAUUUAUCUUUUGAAAAGCUUAGUAAUUUUUCACCAACAACAGAAACCAGAACCUGAAACUCUGAAAAUAGCCAAAACUAAACUCAAGAAGCCUACACUGAAGCCUAUAUUGGGCUUUCAGUGAUCUAGUUAUACCAUCAAAUCGCAGUGAGACAGAUGUAACAAUGGCUUCCAGUAAUACAUAUAGUUGUUUCAGCAAUUGUGGACUAAUUAAUUGGAACAUAAGAGAGAGUGCAUAAGCAACAUGCUAGCCAGAGGAAUUAAGAAGUUCAGUUAUGAAAAUACUGCAAUAUAUUACUCAUAUUAUCAAAACAUACUGAGCAAAGCAUUCAAGUAAUAAGUAAGCUUACAUAUGAGAGUUUCAGACAUUCUGGAAAAACUUCACUAUUUGCUACUUGUCAUAACAUUUGAAAGAAAUUUAUAUACCUGUUCUUGCUUAUCUCGCCAACAAAAGCAUUAUCAUCUCCAACCUCAUAAUUCUGAAAGAUAGCAUCCCCACCUGGACAAAUCACAGUAAAGUUCACAUGGAUAUUGUGAAGUAGAAAAGGCAGGAAAAUAAUAUUUAAAGAAGAUUCUUCUACUAAUCACCUGCACUGCCAAAAGUGGCAGGUCUGUUAGGAGCAGCAACUUCCAUUUCUUCUUGACCUCUGCCUACCAUUUGCCCAACCCCAGCUUCAAGAUUGUCCAGAAUAGAUUUACCCAUGAAAUUAGCUUUAGAACCAGGUUUUGUUCUGCUCCUACCGUCAUUUGGAUCGGCAAAGUUCAAUCUUUCUAUAGAUGGAUUGCGACCCAUGGUAUUUACAAGCUCUUCUUUGUGAAUUCCAUCAGCAUCUGUGGGGAAAAGCUUCUGUUCUAGAAACAUUCCACUAGUAGAUUGAAAAGGCAUACCUUGACUGCCAAAAUUAGCAUUUACUAAUCCAUCCUGUGAUGCUUGCCUUGUCGUAGCGAAAAGAGAAUUUUCUACCAAUGAUUCACUGUAGUCUGUUCUAUCUGCAGCAAGCUUACAGGAAUUGUCUGCAAUAGGAUGAGAAUAGAGCCAAGAAGGCUCCCCACGGCCAUAAGAUGAUGAAGGAGAGACAUCAGAAAGCCCUAAUGACUGAUGAGAUUGCAGGACCAUCUUUUGGUUCAUCAUAUUUCCUAAAUCAUGUUCUCGGUUCUCAAAGGAUGAACUCAAUUUCACACCUCUCCUCUGCCUCUCUGCUUCAAUCUGGAACUGUCUCAACUGUGAUUCUAUAAGGUUAUUAGACAGCUGCCUAUUAGAGUCAACCAUCAAGUGCCCCUCCAUGGCAUCCAUGAGUGAACCACCAUACUGUUCAGGCAUCCUAUGUUGAUAGGGAUGAACACUAGAAUGAAUGUGUGAAAGGUCAUUCACAAGGUCAAUGUUUGGCGAGAGAGAGGUCGUAGGUAAUGAAAUUGCCCUAUCAAGAGGAUGGAUCCCCUGACCUCUGUUUAAUAGCUCAUGCAAUGCAACAUUCCGCUCAAUUUGGUUGUUGAGCUCAACGGACGAGGCUCUCUGAGGGGGGUGCACAAAAUCCAAUGGGCUAAGUCUAGAAGAAUGAUUAAGGUGUGCACUAGGUGAUGGCUGGAUGAACUGGUUAAAUCUUUCUUCCAUGUGCGAUUGCUGCCUCGAAGGAAUCGGAAAUUGCUGUGCUCGGAGCAUCUGUUCCUGCUGAAGAUCUAAAAGCAGCUUCUGUUGUUCGAAAGGAAGCAUCUGCCUACUGUUGGAAUGAGAUAAGAUAUCCAACAAAUUCUGACCAUGCUGACGGUUUUGCAUGAAUUUUGCUUGGAUAAGCUGCUCGACAAGUGCAUCAUGCUCUCGUUGAAGAUAGUGGGAUUGCUGCUGUGACUCAUUCAACAGGUGCUGCCUCAACAGAACUUCAUCAAGGAUGUUGUUAUUUCUGUGGCGUGGAUCGCCAUUUAAUUGCUGAUGCAGCAUUUGCUCCAGCAAUAAUUGCUGCUGCUGCUCCUGCUGCUGCUGCAGAAAUUGCAUCUCCUGUUGAUGAAGCUGUUGUCUUAUAUUCUGCUGCUGCAACUGCUGAAGACGUUGCUGUUGGUCAAGUUCAAACUGGAGUUUCAACAUGUGCUCCAAAUCCGGCACUUGGUGAUUAUUAGAUUGUUGAUGGUGCAGAAAAUCGAGAUUUUGCUGGGCCAGUAACUCUUCCUGCUGUAGUCGCUGCUUAAGUAACUGCUGGGAGAGGAGAUGCUCUUCUAAGUUGAACUGGUGUUCAAUAGUGGGCAAAUGACUAGCACCAAUAGCAUCAUGAAGUACAUUUGAACUACUAUUCUUCCUAUACUUGGUGGAAAAUUCAUCAGGAACCAUAUGUUGUUCCUGUCUAUGGCUAAAAAGAGAUACAUCCUUCACAGCCGCAGUUUCAGGAAACGGCUGAUCAACUGACAAAAGAGGGUUCUUUGGCUGAGUUCCUUCCAGCUCAGAGAAAAGUAAUCUACGGGAAUUCAAAUCAUUAUCUUUUGGGUCCCUUUGAUUAGGUAAAGAGACUUGUCCCACUUCAGAUGCCAUUAGAAUAUGACCACUAGAGGUCUGUAACAAAUUACUUUGGUCGCUAGUAAGAUUCACCAGUGGCCUAUCCAUACUCAUAAGCUUUCCCCUGUACAACACUUCUGCAGCAAAUAAGAAAGAAAACAAUCAAUAAAUUGAAACUUCUAAAAGAAUUUUUUUUAUUUUGGGGGGGGGGGAGGGUGGUGCCCCGUAAAGAAAACUAACCGUCAGCAUCCUGUACAGCAAAUUCAUGAAUUCGAGACUCAGAGUUGCCUCUAGCAGACUCCAAAGGCUCGAUAUUUUGAACAGGAGAUACAACAGGGACUUGUUCACUUUUUGAAGUCAAAUGUGGUAUAAGUUCACCAAGUGGCCUGAAAGGAGUGCCUUCUGGGGCAUCUGAAGGGCACACAGGUAGAUCGGUGCCAAAAUAUCCUUCUUCAAGCCAAGACAUAAUAUCAGCAACAAGAAAAGGGCCCUGUAUCCUUCCUUGCGGGUCCCGGUAAAACAAACUCAACUCCUCGGGAGGAGUAGAAGGAUUUGGAGCAACAUCACUACUAUUCGAUAAUUCAAUUGUUUUCUGAAUAACUUGGACGGUUGGUGUAACAAAGAGCGAACUUGAAUCAUAUGGCAACUUAGCACUAACAUCAAAAGUAGCAGCUGGGUCCACUUCUUCCAACUUUGAGUUCUUUAGAAAAUCUGAAUUUCUAGCAUGCCCAUCAUUAUUAAGCAAUUUUCGCUCACCAGGUUUCUCUACAGAGCCAUUGGUACCCAAGGAGACCUUUGUAUCAUAGAAAGCAUCAUUUUCUGAAAUUAGUGGAGAUAUGCGAUCAUUAUCCACUGCAAUAGUUAAAGAUUUGACAUUGUCGCUGAAUUCUCCAAGUAUGUAAUCUGAUCCUGAAAAAAUUGAUCACCAAAGUCAACUAUUCAAAAUCUAGUAGAAUUAACCAACAAGCUAAUAAAAGAAAAUUGUUAUUAAUGAAAAAAAAUGUAUCAGAAAUUGUUCUUACCUAUCUCAUUGUCAACUCCUGUCGCGUGCUCCUUACUUGGAGAAUCUGCUUCACUGCUAGUGACCUUUCCCUCCCAGAUAUCAUUUACAGCUGCCUGCAACCCACAUAAUUUAAUUCCCUUAGAAUAACUAAGUCAAAGAAAGUGCUUAUUUCCCUAUAAACAAAAUAACAUAUCAAAGCAUUUUUGCUAACUGAAAAGAUCACAUGGCUUCUUUCCUGGAUCAGGAUUUUGAAGAAAGAUGGAAGGCAAUGGGGAAAAAACCCAAUUUCUAAAAUAGUUAAUAAUCAUGUUAAAACAAGCAAAUGCAGUGUCAAGAUGCUAUUUGAGCAGAUAUGAACCUCAAAAAUGGAAAUCAUUAACAAUUACCACACAUGUAACAAAGGCGUAAAGUUCAUUUCGAGAAAACAAAUGAGGCAUGCACUUUUGAGUCAGAUUGAAGACACCUGCAUAUUGACACCUCAAUGACCGGCUAAAUGAAAAAAUGCUUUACUGAAGCGAAUAUAGAUAAGCAAUCUCCGCCUUACAAUCCAACUUAUAGGACUUACUUUUUUGGAUACAAAAAAUCAAAACAGGAGAAGAACAGUAUAAAUAUCAAAUCACAAUUUGACCCUUCAAAUCCUUUAUUUGUACAGUAAAAUACUGGGAAGAAGACUGCAUUAGUUGCAAUAAAACAAGGCGUCAAAAUAAGAGAGUCCAGUUAUAUUUGCAGUAAAAUCAACAUCUCUUAUCAUGUACAACUUAAAACUUGUCUAGUCAGCAGAAAAAAUCAUCUUAGAAAACAUAAGAAUAAAGUCAAAUAUAUCCAUUGGUUUGCCUUGUCCCAGGUCAGGAUAAAAGAGAAGGCUUGCAGUAGGUACUUUGACAACAAAGCAAAACUUUUGACAGAGAGACUGCUAUUCAACAUGAUUCAGCCUAACCAAUAAAAAAUGUGCAACAACUUAGUACAAUUCCCUGGUAUAUAUAAAAUUUACUAACUUCGCUACUCAAUUAACAUAACAAAAAAAAAACACACUUAAUCCCAAAGCUCACACAAAAAUAAGAACAACUUAGAUUGCCUUAGAUGUUCUGGGAAUAAAUCGCACAAUGUGUUGGCUAGGUUUUUGCAUAUAUUUAGAGAAGUAUACACAAAUGCAUCUAAUUUAAGGGCCAUAUGUGCAACAAAAUUAGCAAACAGAAAAAAUAAUACCAUUCUUUCCGUUACUCAAAUCAAUACCAUCCUUCAGCAAUUCCCCUUCUUCACAAGGCAUUACGCUUUUGCAGAGAGAAUAUUAUAUACUAGUUAUACUCAACUAAGUGAUCAGAACUUGGUACUCAACAUUCUUUAUAAACAACCUUUUCUACCUUGAUCAGUAUGAAUUGCCAUUCCAAUGAUACAAAAAAAAUAUAAAGCAAAUUCCCAUAUUGAUAUGAAGAAAAACUUUUGUUCUCAAAGGGAAGUUAAUAAAAGCACUAAUCUUACUUAACUAAAAAUUAAGCAUACCUUCUCAUCAUCAUCUAGUGUGAGGAAGGCCAAUGGAGUCACAGAACUAGACAACGUAAUGGAAGGAACUUCUUCUAGACCCUCAGGAGUAGCUUCAAAUGAUGGCAGUGUCCUCUGCUUCCUAUAAAUGUCAAGAAGCUUUCCUCUUGGAUACCGAAAAGUAUGAACAGUUUCAGACACAUUCCUUUCUACUGGCAAAGCACCAAUAGGCCCAGUAGAGAACGACCUGCUUAAAUUUGACCUACCCCUUCCAGGGGCAAAUCCCACAUUUGAUCCCUCUGCACGCCCUUUCUCUAACCCAAAUCCAGGAGCCCCAUGAUGGGCCAUAGUGGACCCACCAGAUUGAAUUUCCUGGCGGUAGCGAGGCCGCCAUUUAUCACGUGAGUCUGACUCCGACAAUGGACGGAGCCCACCAGAAAAAGGCAGCUGCUGCUUUUGAACAUGAGAAUCGUCCUUGUCUACAUCCAUCUUCUUCUCCAGUCGAGAGUCCUUCUCUUUGUCUUCUGGGCCCCACCUCGAUGACCAUUUGCUAUCAGCAACUUCUCUCAUAGAGAUAUUAUCAGAACGGCGAUUAUUUUUGCGAUAUUCAGCAGUUUCUCGAUCUCCUUCCUUUCUACGCUCUCUCCUACCAAGUAAGCUAGUUUCUCUUUCCUCUUCAAGCCAACGACGAUUACUAUCAAUAUCGGGCACAUUCCUUCUCCAUUCUUUCUUAUCCAGAGAACUAUCCAACCGCCACAUAUCUUUUGGAGUGGGUGGGCGAGCAUCCUGUAGCAAGAAGCACCAUAGAGAAAGUAAGACAAAAGAAGAAGAAGAUGAAGAAGAUAUAGUGGGAGGAAAACAUGAGAAUGCAAUACCAUUUGAUUGCUAGCAUUGCAAUAGGUAAUUUGAGACCCAAAGUCAUAAAAGUUGUCUUAAUAUCAACUCUUAUGGAUAAACGUUCAAAAGAACUAAAGCAGGAUGUAGACUAAACAGUGACAAUCUUAAGCAUCUUAUUUUACAAAACAUAGAACUACAUGUCUCAGACUAACAAUAAUCUUAAAUAUCCUGCAAGUCAAAAGUUUAAAUUUUUAUCACAUGAGUACCAGGAGAGAUGCAACUCGGAUAAACAACAAAAAAUGUAACUAGAUAUAGAUGAAGAUCGAGAAUGAAUAACAAAAUGUUAAUAACAAAGCAGACCAGUCAAUUUAAAAAAGAAAAAUGAUGACCUGCAGCUAAAGCAUUCAUUUCCUUUCUUAGGUGUGUAGUUAUGGGUCUUCCCAAUAGACCUGGGAAUUGGAUUUCAUUAACUAGGUUAUCCAUCGGUAUUGCAGAUAUACAACCACGAUCCAGCCGUUGGGCCUUCUAACCAAUCUUAGAUUCCUUUGAAGCCCACUAUUCCUCUAUACAUGUUCACCAAUCAUACAGCAACCUAUGACUGACUAGUUUCAAAGAAAAAGGAUUAUAAAACCAUCUUCCUGGACAUAUUAUGAUUGCUAAUUCUGCAAUCCUGAUAUCAUACAGGAGUUGAACUAACAUCUUCAAGAGUCAAGACAUUGAAAGGAAAGAGGAGAAAAGGAAAGCUAAAACCUUAUAUCUGAUAUUACAUCUAUUAAGUAUAAUUUCCCACUGAAAUGACAUGAAUAAGACAUAACAAGAAAGAAUUAAACCUUCAAAGAAGAGGCAACAUAAAUUUCCUCAUUAAAAAUGUGCAUUUGCAUGCUCCAUUUAUCGAAUAGCUACACAGGUUGCAUAAAUUUAGGGGGAAGAGAAUAGACUAAUACCCCUGAUGCAGCAACAACACCAAACUUGCUAUCAGCAGGUUUAGCAUAAAGCCAUUGUGGCGAAAGAGGAAUGCUAUUCUCAGCCGAAGGUUGAUCUGCAGACAGAACAUGUAAAUUAUAAAUACAGUGGUUGCAGAUACAUCGAAAAAUUAAAAAUAAUAUUGUCAGCUUGUAAAAAUAUAAUCCACUACAAAAGACUAAAAUUUGUGCAAACAAUGAAACAUAUGAAAGAAACAAACAAUGCACACAAUCUUUUAUGACAAGCAGCAACCAGAAAAGGUAAUGUAUGUAUUCAAUUGAUGGGUGGCUAGAACAUCGUGAAGUCUGCGGAAACCAUAAAUACAGUAAUAAAUAAGGCAGCAAAUAUCAAAAAGGUGUGCAGAUGGUAGUACAGUAUUCUCACUCGCACCUUCUUUAAACAACUUAAAGAUUGCCUAACGAACGACGAAUUCCAAGUUCUUCGUGUACAACAGUUCUACCAAAUUUCAUAUUUAAAUUUUUCAUCAAAUCCGCCAAAUCAGCUAAAUCUAAAUCAAUCAAAUACUAGCAAAAGCUCUGAGUUUCACAUUUCAAGCUAUGAUAGAGUUACCAAACUCUUUACGGUGAACAAUCUACUGCUGCAUCAAGCAUCAAGCACAACCGGAAAGAGGCUGCUCUCCAAACCCACUAAGUAACCAGGCGUACUACAUAACCUCCAGAAUAUAAUAAAGCUGCCUGAGAAUCACCCCAACUUCCACAACAAGGAUGAUAAAACUAUGAACUGCUUAAGUACUACAAAAGUCAUCGGCGAGAAACUACACGAAAUCACCUUUUGAUUCAUUGAGAAAUCCCACAAGAGCCUUCUCGUCAUCAUGCUCAGCAGAAACACCACCUGCCAAAUUUAAAGGCAAAAAAAAAAAAAAGCCCACCAACCAAAUUAGCAAAAAAGGAGCAACCAACAAGCAUUUAAACGAAGAAAACAAAGGAAAAAGGAAAGGAAUAACCACAGUAUCUGUAUACUUAUAUGCUCAAAUUAAGGCCUCUGAUACAAAUUAUAUAGUAAGAUUAAAAAAGUAACACAGUUUCAGAUCCUUCGCACAUCAAAAUGGAAAACCAACUAAGAAGUUUCCAAAAUAUAAGCACUUAUCAACCACAAACACCAUGGACUGAAGCUACUGUAGAACCAAAACAGAUCUUAACGCAGAGAAACACUAAUCGCGCAACAAAAACCCUAAAUCUCCGCAUGCGGGUAACAGAGAUCGAACGGGUAGGGAGCACGCGCGAUCGAUCCCGUCCGAUCGAAAUGGGGGCGAGGGGAUGGCGACAAGCUCACCUUUUGCGGCCCACGCCGCCACCUCCUCCGCCGCCGCCGCCGCCGACCUCGCGGCCCGGCGAAGGUGGUCAAGGGGGCCGAAUUAGGGUUUCCCCGGAGUUGGAAAACCUAGGGAUCGGAGGGGUUCGAGAGCGAGAGUUUGCAAUCGAUCGAGGGAUCGAGGGUUUGAGAGGGCUAGGGUUUCGCAAACGAGCGAGCUUUGAGAGGGUUGUGAGAUUUUUGGAAACACGAGAGCAAGAGCGAGAAAAAACUAAAGCGAUGAGAUGAGAGAGAUUUAUCUGAAGGAAAUAUGCAUUUAGCUCCCUAGCCAAUCACUUAUUUACAACCCCGUUAAAACCGAAAAUGGGUUCAACAUUUUAUUAUGGAUAAUAAUUUUAUUUUAUAAAGUAGUAAUUACUGUAUAAACUAUUUAAUAUUCUGAAACGAUCUAAGAUUUUGUAAAAUAUGAUUAUAAUUUAUACUUUUUCCGUUUGGUUCGGGGUUAAGGAAAAACUAGCUAUUCCAGAGAGUUAAGUUCAGGAUUAAAGUGGGGUUAAAGUUUUUUUGUGUUUGGUUGGGGGUUGGAGUUAGUCUAGAAUAAUGAAAAAUAGUAUUUGGUUGGGUAGGUGGGAUAAGAAGAUAAUAAUUGAUAAAGAAGGAUAAUGAUUGGUUGGAGUACGUAUGAUAAGAAAGAUAGUGGGUUAUUAUGAAUAGAAAAUAGUGUUUGGUUGGAGUUUGGUGGGGUUAGGUGGGUUUAGCUAACCCGGGAUAAUUUAUUUGAGGUGGGGUUAGGUGGGAUUAGCUAAUCCCACCUAUUUUUUGGGAUGUUUGGGGAUAAAAUGGGGGUUAAGGGGGGUUAUUCCACCCCUUAACCCCCAACCAAACAAGGGCUUAAAGAUCAUGUGACAAUGCUAUUAGAGAAAAUUAACGGAAGUAAAACAUAUUUUAUCGGUUGAAAUAAUCAGAUUUAUGUGUUUUUUUUCUUUAAAUUUUUGAAAAUUUUUUGUCUGAUGUGAAAUUUGCUUGAAUGUCCUGCAUAUUUUUUAAAUUUUUUUAGAAUAGUAAUCAAUAAAAUGUCGAAAAAAAUCGUGUUUUUUGAUUUGAAUGGACGAAUAUUUAUCCUCUUUGGUGGGUAAGAAAAUAUGUAAUUUUUUUUUAAAUCAAGUUCACAGAUAAAUUUUAAAAAUUCUUUAAAUUUUGGCUUAAACUUGCCCCAACAGCUAAUGACUUAAAUAAAUGAAUUCCAUUAAACUUUUGACUUAUCACUGAAUCAUUUUCUAAAUAUGAGUUAUGAUUAAUGAUUGUGAUGUUGGAGCCUAUUAUUAGUCAAUUAAAUUGGACCUGACUCAUAAUAUCCCAAUCCAAAUAUGAAGGAAUUCUAAAUAGGUGAAAACGUAUGGAAUUUAUCUAAAUUAUAAACCAUUUUGAAUUGGUUGUCAAUUUUUUUAAAAUUUAAAUUUUACUAUUCAAUCUUUUUAAUUUGUUUGAUUUGAAUUAGUCAAUGGCACUUUGAUUUUAAAAUUUAAAUAAAUUUAGUUAAUAUAUACUUUAUAUAAUUUUGCAACUAUACAUUUAUUAAGUUAAGUAAUUAGCUUAAAUUUUAAAGUCAAAUUAUCGUUAACCGACUCAAAUCAAAUAAAUUGAAAAUGUCCGAUAGUAAAAUCAAAAUUUUAAAAUGAUGGGUGGCCAAUGCAAAAUAGGGCAUAAAUCAGAUAAGGUAUGUAUGAUUUUAUCUUCUAAAUAUAAUGAAACUUUCACUCACUUUUUAUUUAGUAAUAAUAUUGUAUUAAAAAUGAUAUUUAUAAACUUGUAAACAGUUGUAAAUCUUAUGACUCAUUCAUUCAAAAACUAAUUUUCUCUCACUAGUCUUAAAUUCAUGGAGUUACAAAUCAAUUCAAUUCACCUCGAUUUAGCACGAAACAAAAUAUAACUAAUGAUUGAUAAAUUUUGCAAAAAAAAAAAACUUUAUUUUUUUAGGUACAAAAUUGAGUAUCAUGGAUGGUAGUGAGUGUCCAUAAAAGGUGUUCAAAUCAAGUUUUUUAGAGUCUAUUUGGAUGCAUGAAGAUUUUAAUUAAUAAUUUUUUUUUCUAUUUACCAAUAAUGUGCAUGAUCAAUGUUUAAAAAGAUAUAAAAUAUUGGGCCUCGAAAUCAUUCUAUGAUAAAUCACCUCCUGGUGUGGCUUUUAAACCUUUUUAAUGAGCUAAGAUCAAUAAUAAAAAUGAAGUACUCGUAAUAAAUAAUUUAUAACUAGGUAAUUUAUUCGGACAAUUAAACGAAUCAUUUAAACAUUCAUCAUUUAGAUGUUAUUUCAAAUUGUACGGAGAAUUAAUGCAUUAGAUACGGUUAAAAAAAAUACAAUAAGAAAAUUUCCACCUGCUAUCCUAAAGAACUCAAUAAAAAUAAAUUAAAAUACAAACAAUUAUCUCACUUAAAAGUGGAAUUUUAAUGCUCCUUCUAAAAAUUUUACAGUGAAAAGAUACUUUGGGGGUGAUUCCAAGGAAUUUCAGGAAAAAUAAAAUAAUAAUAAGACGAGAAGAUAGAAAGAAACUUCAAAGUUGAGCUCUCCCAUAACACUUCACUAAGGCUGCGUUUGGUUCGGGUAUAAGUAAGAACUGCUAGUUCUAGGGAUAGGUACAAGUUCAGGUAUAAGCAGGAACUAGACCAAUUUUGCGUUUGGAUGAAAAUUGGGUUGUUCCUGGGAAUAGGGUAAAUAGUGUUUGGAUGAUUAGAUUGGAACAAGAGGAAUAAACGUUAUAAUUUAAAAUUAAAAUUAUAUUAUGUAAUUAAUUAACAUAAAAAUAUUACUUAAAAAUAAAUAAAAAAUUAAUUAUUAAUAAUUAAUUAUAAAUAAUAAUUAAUAAUAAUAAUUAAUUAUAAAUAAUAAAUUAUUAAUAACGAUUAUCUAAUUAAUAAUAAUUAUUAUUAUUAUUAAUUAUUAAUAAAUAAUAAUAAUUAUUAAUUAUUCUUAUUAAUUAAUUAUAAAUAAUAAAUUAAUAAUAAUAUUGAUUAUCUAAUUAUUAAUAAUAAUUAAUAUUAAUAUUUAUUAAUAAAUAAUAAUAAUUAUUAUUAUUUAAUUAUAAAUAAUAAAUUAAUAAUAAUAUCCAUUAUCUAAUUAUUAAGAAUAAGAAUUAUUAAUUAAUUAUUAAUAAAUAAUAAUUAUUAUUAAUUAUUAAUUAUUAAUUAUAAAUAAUAAAUUAAUAAUAAUAUCGAUUAUCUAAUUAUUAAGAAUAAAAAUUAUUAAUAAUUAUUAAUAAAUAAUAAUUAUUAUUAAUUAUAAAUAAUUAAUUAUAAAUAAUAAAUUAAUAAUAAUAUCGAUUAUCUAAUUAUUAAGAAUAAAAAUUAUUAAUAAUUAAUAAUAAAUAAUAAUAAUUAUUAAUUAUUAAUAAUUAAUUAUAAAUAAUAAAUUAUUUAAUUAUUUAAUUAUUUAAUUAUUAAAAUAAUAAAUAAUAAUUUAAAUAUAUUAAUUAGAUUAAUUAAUAAUUUACUGCCAUUAAAAUUAAAUUUAGAUUUUAAUUAAUUUUGUUCUCAUCAAGGAACAAGCUUGUUUCAGUAAACAGGUGGAACAGCAGUUCCAGCCUUAUUCCAGCUAGUUCCAGAUUCCCGGGAACUACUGUUCCCGGGGGCAAAACAUAGCGUUUGGGAACAAAGGGGGGAACAAGGGCUUAUUCCCCCCCUUGUUCCCCAACCAAACGCUACCUAAAGAGUUUUUUUUAUCUUUAUUUAAAAAUUAUAAUCUUUUUAUGAAUAAGUCAUAAGAUUGAGAUAAAAUUAAUAGUGCACAGCGAAUCGAAACUCUCCAACAGAUCAUUAGAGUGAGAUAAAAUUAAUACGCGACAGUAAAUUACUGAAUUGAUAUGAAACAAAUAUAGUGACAGCGAAUCGAAACUUUUUAAGAAAUUGUUGGACUAGAUAAGAUUAACACGCGACAGCGGACGAGGACAUCCAAGGAGACAUUUUAUCAAAGAAAUUGGGGAUGUGGGGCCCGCAAAUGAUGGGUGGGGGCGCGAGACGCGUAAAACUGAAUUUUAGAAUUAAUUUUAUACAGCUAAUUUUUUUUUAUAAAAAAAAUUAGUCUAUAUUUAUAAAUAGAAAUGCAAACGAAACAGAUCAGAGCUUAAACAGAUCAGGUCGAGAGGGAUCAAAAUAAAAUAAUCAGAGCUUAAACAGAUCAGGUCGAGAGGGAUCAAAAUAAAAUAACAGUUUCUGUAUAUUUUGUUCUCACUCAUCACCUGAAUCAAAACAAAUCGGAACAAAAGAUCCACCAACCCAAAUCUCUAAUCCACCAAUUCUUUCUUUCUUUUACUGUCCUUAAUUUCUGCAUUGGUGAUUUAGCUCAAGCGAAUCAUAAGGAUCGACAUAUUAACUGAUCUAACAGAAUAAAAAUGUAGUAUGAGAGAAAUUCUUUUUAAAACCAUAUAAAAUUGGUGCAAUAAUUAUUAUUCACAUAAAAGAAAGACAAACGCACAUUCAAUCAUAUAAACUUACAAAUGUUUUUUUUUAAAAAAAAUUCAUAACUGCGAGAAUAUACUUUUAAAUACUCCUCACAUAUUAACCAAACGAAAGUGUCAUAGCACACAUUCUUAAGCGUCCCCUAAAAAGUCUCAAGAUUUGGAACUGAGUGGCAACAGGAAAAUAUUCAUUAAAAAUAAAAAACACAAUUCAAAUAUUCAAUCAUCUAAAGCCCAAAUCCAAAGUGUAUUACCUUAGAAUUUUAAAAAGAGACUUGAAAAAAAAAAAAUGGCAUAUUUGAGUUCCUCAAAGCAACAACAAAAACUCUUUUGUCCGAUUCAGGCGACUACGAUUACCACCACUGCUAAAGUUCCUGCCCCAAACUAAGUAGAAAACAUGAAAACCAAAAUUUGAAGAGAAAAAUCUAGCUCAUCCUCUGAGCAGCUUCCUUCGCGAGAAGCUUUUCGCGAGCCUUUGUUUUUGCUUGUGAUUUCGAUCCCAUAAUACCGCCGCCCCACUUCUUCCUGAUCUCGUCAAACUUGUCGUUGAAGUUCGCCUAAAAAAGGAAGAUCAUCAUUAGUAAAUAAAGUAUAAAUGUAUAUACAAUUGCUAAAAUGCAAACUGAAAAAGAAAAAAAAAAAAAAAAAAAACGUUUUAACAUUCCCACCUUAAUAGCCUCAAGGAUCUUGCUGAAUUCGAGCUUAUCUUCAUUCUUGACUGUGGUCAAACAGAGGACAGCUGCGUUCUUCUUGUGAACAAUCUGCAUGUCAUUUAUAAGAGAGUAUAAAUAUUAGGACGCAUAAAUUGAUCUUAGAAAUAGAAUAGAACCUCAAUCAAAUUAAGAGACCAUACCGCUCCAAGCCGCGCUUUUCCCUUGACGAUGCAGUAAGGGAUCUCCAUUUUCCUACACAACGCAGGAAGCCAAACAACAAGUUCGAUCGGGUCGACGUCAUGGGCUAUGACUACCAACUGUGCCUUUUUCUGCAGAAAAUACACAGAAAUAUGCAAUAGCUCAAUUAUAUUUUCCAUGCAAAAGUUCAGUUUCUCGAAAAUAAUUUGAGGAUAAGAUGCUUGAAAUAUAGCAGCGAUUGCUAGAAAGAACCGUCAGCAUAAAAAAAACGCUAUGCAGUAAAUGAUAGAAGCAGAUAGAAGACCCAAUAUACCUGCUCGAUGAGGUAGGUAACGUGGUUGAGGCCAUAUUUCACCACAAUGGGCUUUUUAGAUUCGACAGUCUUUCCUUCAGCCUCAGCCUUAGCUCUAUUCAGAAGCCGCUCCUUCUUAGCAGCUCGGUCUUCAGGGCGGUACUUCAAAAGCAUUUUGAAUAGGUUGGUAGCUGCAGCCAAAAUGUACCAAAUAAACUAUUAUAGGAAAUCUACAAACUUUUCAUUUCAAAAUGCAUAAAUUGAUUGUAAUCGUUCGAUUUCAAGAAGGCUGGAAAGUCUAGUAACACUGGAAACAAUAAUUACCAGAAGCUGAAGUAUUAAUUAAAAAAACAACUGACAGAUGAAUAGAUGGCUCAAAGAGAGAGAUUAAAGCCGACCUUUUUUUACAUAUUUAUUUGAAAAGAGUAUCGCUUAAUCAUAUCAUUUUGCCCCCAGUGAAUCAGGAAUAACUAAGACGCAGGUACCCCAACAAUAACACAAUACCUCGCCCAGAUAAAACAAUACAUCAAACGACUCAGAAGAGGAUAAGCAGAAUACAUUGGUUUUCAUACCGUGACUGACCACGCAAUAAUCCAUCAUUACAAGCACAAGAUACAAGUGGUCAAAUAUUAACAGCACAGGAGAGGUUCAGCAAUUCAUUGAAUAAGAUAUGGUCAAAACAAGAUAAAGGGUUAUAGGGUCCUUUCAAUCUCAUUUCUAUGCAAUUGAGUCGACAACCGGGACAGAGAAGUGAGAACAAGGGUAAAUAACCAAAUAUAUGAAUCAUACCAAACUGAUUCAUCAAUCAUUCAUUCCUGAGCAACUAAAACACUGAUUAGACUUUUGCAUAGGAUUCAUCAAAUCAUGACAAUCUUAAGAUUUUGAUGAAUUCUUUUUCAUGCACUCUUCAUGAAAGAGCUUCUAUGUAUAGAUUGCAUUGGUUUCGUGCAUUAACAACUUAAACAUUUAAAAAGGUUCAUCAGCAAAUAAUUCCUUAAACAAACUCGACAACAAUACACAUGUGAAUACUACUAACAAUUCAAUAAAGAUGAGGCAAUUGCAUUAACAAAAUCUCUAUCUCUAAAACAAAAAAAAAAAAAAGAAGAAGAACAUUAGUAGUUUACCGAGGUUCUUAUCAAGGGUCCUGGUGAACUGGUUCAACGCCGGGGGCACCUUCAACCUCUGCUUGAGGAUCCUCCUCUGCCGCUGGAUCCGCACCACCUUCGGCCACUUCACGAAGCGGGUGAGGUCCCUCUUCGGCGGCAGGGCCCCGCCGAUCCCGAACUGCUUCGGCCUCUUCUCGAACAACGGAUUCACGACCUUCUCCUGUGGAAUUCGCAUCAACACCACAAAAUGUAUCAUCAUCUAGGGCGAAAAAACAGAAAAAAAAAAAACACCAAUAAAUUCUUAAAAUAAGGCGAUAAUGUAGAUCAAUACCGUCUUCUUCUUCGCCGCGACCGGGGCCUUCCCACCUCUCUUCGGGGCCUGUUAGAUUCAAACACAUAGUAACCCAUCAAACCCUAAAAUACCAAAAAUUGUCAAAAAUUAAACGGAAAUGGAUGUUUUAUUUAAGAAAUUUACAAAAAUCAACGAUUUUAAGCGAGAAACUGGGACGAAGAACAACAAGAUCGAUUAGUUUUACACAAAAAGCGACGGAAAAAUCCGAUUUUGAGAACACAAGAGGGGUUUAGGGAUCGGAGGAGGGAUCGUACCAUGACGCCGCUUCGAGUAGAGCUAGGGUUUCAGGGUGCGAGAGAUAGGAAGGAGAGGAGAGGGUUUAUAAAGGGCAAAACCGAUCUCCUAUGAUCUCGACCGUCGGAUAUAUUGAUGAAAAAAUGUUCGAUUCAUAUUGAUCGUCCGAUUGAGAUUUGUAAAGGUUUGGAUUAAAGGAAUGUACAGAGUCUCCUUUGGAAACGCUUAAAACUAGGACGAGUUAGUAAUAAGUGGAAGUGGUCCACCAUGUUGGCCGUGGACCGCCAUAUACUCUCCAUUCUUUUCUUUUUUUUUUUUCUUUUCUGAUUUUUUUUUUUUUAAGAUGCAGUUAAAUUUUGUGUUUAAUUUCCAAAUAUACCCAAAAUAACAUGUCAAUAUCCAUUUCAAUUUUAAUUAUCAAUGAUAUUUAUGACCAACGCACCAGUUAUAAGAAAAUUUUUAAAAUAUAUAUUUAUUUUGUUUUUUGAGUUUUAGUGAAUAGAUGCAACUUUUAGUAAGUAGAUGCGACUCAAAUUAGAAAUUGUGACUCUUGUUGGUGAAUGAAUGUGAAAAAAAAGGUGACUUGUAGUGAAAGAAUAAGAUACAAAAAGGCGCAAAUUUAUAGUGUAUCCUCUCGUGAAUGUAUGUCCAUUGAAAUUAAUUUUUAUAUUUAUUGAACUUGUCUUAUGUAACUGGUCGAUAGUUAUGAUCAAAUAAAAGUCAUUUUAUAAAACAUCCGUUCAUAAAUUAUCACUUCGUAAAACACUCGUUCGUUGAAUAUAUAAGUCCAUAACGUUGAUGCUGAAGGACAGUUGAAAUUUUCAAAUUUCUAUUAAUAAUAAUUUUUUAUUUAUUUUUAACAACUUAAUCGAGUAAGUGCUAAAGACUCGACUUCGUGUGUGCAAACAUAGUUAAAAUUUGUAUGUUUCUUUAUAUUCUGAGAAACUAUUCGGUGACCCAAUGCACACCGAACUAUUCGAACGGUUGAGACGAAUUAAGCUUUAAGAAGAAUAGUAUUGCUACACAUCUUGAAGUUUUUUUCAUCUUUCUAAUUUAUAUACUUUUUCUACACAAUUUCUCCAACACAGAGUUCUCAAAAGAAAAAAAAAAAAAAAAAAAAACAUACUUUUUAUUUUUCAAUCGCCUAAUUUUUUAUUUUGUGUUUUGUUCUCGUGCUAAAUAUAUAUUCUUGAGAAAAUUUAACCCAGUGUUUACUAGCAUUAAGUACGUAAGGUGAUUUUUCAGUGACUAUUUAGUUUAUAUUAAUUACUCUUCUUGAAGAGUAUUUUACGAAGCUUUAAAAUUCACUUCUAUUUUAUUUUCUUUUAAUAUGGAACUAUAAUGAUAAUAAUAAUAAUAAUAAGUUGGUCCGGGCCCAGAUUCAGCUCAUUCUGGUCUGACAUUGGAAGUUGACCUUUCGGCCCAACAAAAUGGGCCUUGAAAAGGCGCUUUUUCUCCAAGCCUGACCUAAUGUACUAUUUUAUUGUUGGGCCGAAUGGUUGAUAAAAUACAAUGUAGAGAUUGAUAAUCAUUUUAUCAAUCUCUACAUUGUAAUUUAAAUUUAUUUUUAUUUUUCUAUCUUGUACUAUUUUCUUUUUUUAUAGAUAUUACCCGAGUAUUAUUUUUUCUCACCAAUAUCUAUAUUACCGUUAACAAAUUUAUUAUAUUAGAUAAAAUUGAACAACUUUGUUAAAAAGCACUAGUUAAAUAGUAGAAAAAAAUAUAAAAUAAAUCUCCAUACUAAACUCAUUAAGGGCGUGUUUGGUUCGCUUCUUUUUCACCCUGGAAUCGGAAUCGGAAUGGAUAAAUCCGUUUGUGGGUGUUUGGUACGCGGGAGUUCCAUUCCGAUUCCGAUUCCCGAGUGGAAUGGGAAUCUCCCAAUUAUCUCUUUUUUCAAUCCGGUUUAGGAGGCCGGAUUGAAAGUUGAAUUCGGACGGAAUGGAUAUUUAUUCGGAUUAAAUUUAUUUUUUCAACUUUUUUAAUUAAAAUAUGACUUAAAAUUUUAAAAUUAAAUAUAUAAUUUUAAAUUUUAAUUUUAACUUAAAUUAAAAAUUAAAAUUUAAUAAAGUAUUUCGAAUCUAACUUAUGAAUUUGAAUUUAAAUUAAAUUUUAAUUUAUAUAAAAUAUUAUUCAAAUUUUAUUUCAAACUUAAAUUAAAUUUAUGUAUUCAAAUUAAAAUUUAAAUUGUAAUUUUAAAUUUGAAUGUGAAUAAAUCAAAAUUUAGUUUCAUAUUUUAAAUUAUCCACUCAACUUCAAAGUUUAAUUUUUUUAAAAAAAUAGAUUUAAAAUUUUGGCAUUAUUUUAAAAUUUUGAUGUAAAUUUUUAAUAUUUAAUUUUUAAUUUGAAUUUAAAUUAAUAUAUUAUAAAGAUAAUGUUAGUAUAUUAAUUUAAUUACAUUUUUUAUAUCCACCUGAACCAAACACCGACAAUGAGAAUGAUUUAUUCCGAUUCCGAUUCAGGUGAUGAACCAAACAAAAUUAGGUAAUGAGUCAUUCCGAUUUCGAUUCUAGCUUAUUUUGAUUCCGAUUCCGAUUUCGAUUCCGACUUCGAACCAAACGCGCCCUAAAAGUUUAUAUCAAAUUAUUUUUAAUUAUUUUUAUAUAUUUUAUUAUUUUUUAUGUCAAAAUGAGUCGAAUAUAUGCUCUGCAAAUUUUCACCGGCAUUUUUUAACAGCUUUUAUAUAAAAUUAUAGGUUUAUGGCUUACAAUGUAGGAAUUGAAAAAAGAAAAAAAAGAAAAGAAAGAACAGUUGAAUGGUGCAUUUGAAAAAUAAAAAAUAAUAGUACGACAUAGGAAGUGAAUUUUUUUUUUAUAUAAAGUACAAUGUAGCAUUGUGUAAUUAAGCCUAAAAAUUUUGAAUGGACACAAAAAGCUUACCUUCGACAAGUAAUGAAAACACUCCAUCUGAGCCCAAAUAUUAUUGUCCUCUUUAAUUAGAUAAGAAUAAUGUAACUGGAGUUGAAUUCCAAACCCAGAUACACUACUUAUGACUCACAGAUAUAUAUAUAUAUAUAUUCUUUUUCGUUUGUGACAAUCUAUAACAACAAUGAAUGAUAAAACUGCAUGGGCGUAGACAAAAUUAAAAGGAGAGGAAAAAAAAACUCAAAAAAUGAUGAAGAAUUGCCGCAGAAGAAUAUGGUACCCUCUCUCUUUCGUAAUUCCCAAUUAAGAAAAUAGGAAAAAUGCACCUGCAACCAAAAAAAAAAAAAAAAAAACAAAAAGCAAGAGUUGAGCUUGAUUGCUUUCAGUUGUUUUUGCUGUUCAAAUAGUCCCAUAUCAGAAGAUGAUAAGAGCGACAAAAUCACGGGAUUUAUAAACUCAGGGAGACAUGCGUAACCACCAUGUGAUUGGAGGCUAACAUUUAAGUUAUUACUACUAGUAAGCUAGUUCGGGCUCUUAGUGGAUAAUAAUAUAUGCAUAUUAUAUGCGUGGUAAUACUAACAACUUUUGUAUUUUCUAAAGUUAUAACAUGGCCUAAUAUAGUACUGAUACUGAACUAAAAGCUUACCGGAUUUGGUAUGUCGCUUUUUCUCACUCUCUUUUUUUUGGGGGGGUUCUUUUUAAUGUUGAUCGCCAUCUUCUAAUCAUUAUCUGUUCCAAAGUAUCUGUCUCCAAACUCGCCCAUGCCGGGAAUGACGCGGUAAUCAUCAUUUAGGCCAACCUCAAUCUCCGAUGUCACAAUCUUGAUUCUUGGGAAUCUUUUACAAACUGCAUGCACCCCUUGAGGAGCCUGAUGAUAAGAAGGAAAUAACACCAUUCAUAUCAUAGGCUAAAUUGGUAAGCAAAACAUCCGUAAACGAGUAAAAGGGGAGCAAAAAACCAAAAAAAAAACACAAGGAAAAUUUUCAUGCUGGCACUCAAAACUUACAGAUAUGAGAUUAAGAAAUAUAAUGUUGCCUUCUUGUACACCCUUCUGUAAAAGCAAUGAUAUAGCUUGAACAGCCGAAUUGCCUACCACAGGAAUUGGAGAAAAGAAAGAAAACAGUCGUCAGAGGAAGCUCUCAUAGCUACUGUGAAUUAUCCAGCCUAGCACUUUCUAAGGUUGUGAAAAGUAAUUCAUUCUGAAUUCAUGACUAAAUCUUUCAAGUUGUUCAAUUUGAUAGGUUUAUAGUAAGCAAUACACUAACCAAAAGAGGUCCCUAUGAAGGCCGUGUUGUAAAGGAACCACAAAGAGUAGGAAUGUAAUGUUGAGAAGAAAGUGAAUCUGAGCAUUCAACUAGAAGAACAAAAGUUUAAACGAAGUAAUAGCAUUAAAAUAUGAAAGCAUUGAGAAAACUGCUCAAAAUAGAAGGUAUAGAAGCAAAUGGUGUGCUCAGAUGAAAUAAUAGCAAGUGGAGCUUGUAUGUAAUCAACAGAACUUGGUGGGAUAAACUGACACUGGAGCAGAAAAAAUAUUCUAGAUGAAUAAUGGAAGCCAUUUACAGUUCUUGAAUCCGACUUCUUUGGAAAACAACAUUGCCAACUCAAGAAACUUACAUUAGAAAGACAUUUACUAGUAACUACUGCAAAUUAUUGUAGCUUUUAAUCUUCCAUUAAGUUCAAUAUCAACAUAAAGUAAUAAUUCAGAAGAUGGGCAAGAAACUUCCAUUAAGAAAAUGGGCAAGAAAGGUACAACCAUGUUAGCACAAUCUAACCAAAAGAUUCAUGUAAACGUGUUGAAAUAGUAAACCAACCUGUACCAAGUAUAGGAUCCAGCAGCAGAACAUGUCUAUCUGAGAUGUCUUUUGGGAGAUUUUGGUAAAUUAGCUGUAUAAAACUUGAUUCAUCAGGAAAUCAACAGAAGCAAAUGUAUUGAAUAAUUGAUUGACAUAGUGCAAACCUGCUGACCAUUAUCUCCUUCCCUAUGAAUAAGAAUCUUGCCAAUCUUAAUACCUUUACAACAAGCCCGCAGUGCAUUCUCCAUACUCUCACCACUGUUAACCAUAGUUACUAUAUUAUGUUAUACUCAGUUUGAUAUAUAAAGGUAGAUUAAGGGGGGGUUGAAAGAGAGAGAGAGAGAGGGAAUAAUUAUUUAAUUUUUAUACAAAUGAUGUAUCAUUUCAAAAUUUUUCCCUCGGUCAAUAUGUCUCAAGGUGUAAUUUGAUUUCGACUGAUAAUCAACGGUGAUGCGUGAAGUACAAAAAAUUGAGAAUAUUCUCUACUGCUAGUAGAGAAUAUAAGAGGUCAUGGCAAGCUGCAAAUCAAAUGAUUACCUUCUGAUCACCGAGAUACCGCAUAACCUCCUACAGAAUUCCACCCCAGUAUAUACAGCUCCUGCACAGUGACCAAAUAUUAAGUAUCAAUGGCUCUACUACAUAGAAAGAAGUACGAGCAAAUUGGCGGUAUCACACUUAGCAAGAUAUGCAUAGUUAAAAGGAAAAGAAGUGAUUCCAUGAGAACUUGAUGGUAAAAGAGCAUCAGAACAACAUGCUUCUAGCAGUAGAUCUCUUUAUGAAAGUUAAAAAAGACACAUUAUGGAGAACAAUCACACACUCUCUCUCUCUCUCUCACACACACACGCACACAUCAUGGAGAUCAUGGAGAUUCAUAUUUGGUUAAUUGUGAUCCAAUUGUGUGAAUACGCAUAAGGUGUAAUGUCUGGUUGCUCAGGUAUCAUCCCCUCUCUCUACUAUAUAUAUAUAUAAAGAAUUUUCUAUCAUGAUGUAACCUGAUUUGAAUAUUUCUACACUAAUUAAACUUGCAAACUGCUCACAUUGACCACUAAAAUUGUUGAAUUUGAGCUCCUUCGAUCACUAGGUAAAUAAUAUCGAAAAUUGUGAAAUUGGUUUUCUAGAUACUUCAAAUACUCUAAUCAAGAUUAAUGAAGCCGAUCGACGAUUCUGAAGUCACAUCAUUAAAAACAACAUAGAGCAUGGAGAUCUCCAUGCUGCUAAAAGCACCUUAGCUAAACUCCUAUUUAUGUACUAGUGUAGAGACUAGAGAGAGAGAGAGAGAGAGAGAGAGAGCACUUUUUCUCCCACAAAAGAAAAGGAGUAUUGAGAAUCUGAAUCAUAGAUAACCAAUUUGCUUUAACCCAGUAACAACCACAAAGGUACACAUUUUCUGGGAGGUCUUCUUAGUCAAUUACAACUCAGAUAAAUCAUAGUAAAUUCCUAAUUUCUCUAUGGUGUCGAGUGCUCACUUGAAAAGGUCUAUAGUAAGGGGUAAACCAAAUAGCAGUAAAUAGAGAAGCGGUCUUAUAGAAGGUCAGAAAGUCUUUCCCUUUCUUUCUGUGUAUGUCGUUUUAUUUUGGAAAAGAGGGUGAAUCCCACUUUGUGCUUGCAAAAUAGAAGACGAAAGGAUCUAGACGGUCUAAUUUGUAAUCUUUACUGCUAGUAAUUUACAAAGGAUUAAGUGACACAAAAGCAAAAUACAUAAACAUUCACAUAAUCACAUGAAAAUCAAGAUCUACUUACCAGUAGGAGUUAUCACCUGCUUUUCUUUGAAUGGAAGAUGACCAAGACCAUGCUCAACAACCUAUUAAAUUAAAAAUAUUUUAACAUCAGAAAUAUCAACCCAUGAAGAACUUAAAACUAAACGAAUUCUCAUACUAACCAAACGAAUUAGUCUAUCAGCAUAAAAGAUGAAAUCAUGCUUUGUAGUUUCGGCAUCACGUAUUAGCGUAUGCAUGCCACGUAUCUGUAGAAGUAUCGGGAUUUGCUUGAUGUCAGAAGAAAACAUAGAUAUAGCUAUGAAUGCACGAAGAACAAUAGCCACGAGUUGCAGCAUUUUCUUGAAAACAAAACAAAUAUGAAGGCUAAAUGGUAGAUGACAUUCAAGUUUAAAAAUCACCUGAAAGGUUGAUUGAAUGACAUAGAGAUUUGGAUAUAUUUUACAAAGAUCAUGCUGACCAAGCUUAGUGCGAAUAUGUUGCACGAUCAAGUCAAUUGCCACGUGAUUGUCUCCACCUCGGGGAAUGAUAAUAUCAGCAUACUUCUUCGUCGGGAGUAUGAAGUCGUCAAAAGCAGGUUUCACAAAUUUUGAGUACUGCAAACAAAAAAUAGAAAAAAAUUAUAUUAGCAACAACAGGAAGAGAGAACUACAUAAAAUUACAAGCCACUUCAAUCAUUGACAGAAAUAGGAGCUCCAUGGUUGGUUGAAACAUGAAAAUUCUUCUGCAAUUCUUUGUUCAGCUCUUUAAAGUUUGGAUGGUGAUCGGUAAUUGCCCUAGGUCUCCAGGUGUCUGGCAAAGUUUCCUUAAAAUUUCAUAUUCUGUUCGUUGUCAUCCAUGCAUAUGUUCACAUGUCACUCCGAAGCACUCAAUAGCAUCAGAUUUUAGCAUACACCAGGGUUGAAGAGUUAAAUUGCAAUGCCAGUCCCUGAACUUUUAGUCAAGUUACACUGUGGUCCUCGAACUUUUAAGGUGGACACUUGACACACGGGACUUUUUGGAAGUGCUUCAUUUUACUCCUUAUUGUACCUACAGUUAGAGAAAAGUUAUUGCCUGCAUCCGGGUCAUCAGAAGUUCAGAACAUCUGCACACCAUGAGCCCAUUGGCUGCUCAUCAAUCUAGUACUUUCAAUCUGGCCAUCCAAUUUCGAAGAAGAGAGAAAGAAAAGAGGGUGGUAGGCACUGAAAUAGGAGAUGGUAUCAAGAGUCAAUGGGAAGCAUGAUACAUGAACUAAUGGAAGCACUGUCGGGGGCAAUAGUUUGUCCUCUAAAAAUAGAUGAGGAUAAGGACUGAAAUGAAACACUUUCAAAGUUUUUGGUAUGGAAUGUCCAACUUAAAGUUUGAUGACCAACAUGAAACCUGCCUAAAAGUUUGGGAAUUGAUACUGCAGUUUACCCAACUAGAAAAGGCACAACUGGAUAUAUGUUGUGUAACAGCUGAAAUGUCUACUUAUUUGAUUUUGAUAGUCCACAAUCCCUAAUCUGUCAAUUAUGAUGAAUUGGCCUACUAGAAGCUAUAAACUAUUAAGCAUCACCCUAAAAAGAAAAAAAAAUGUGAUAAUUAUAAGCAAAAGAUAUGAUCGAUAUAUAACCUGAUCGAGUACUGUUCUGACAUCUCUGCCCUUUUCAACAGUAUCACGGCAAAUCCUCCUUGCUAGACGUAUAUCAGCAUCUGCUCAGGUUGAGAAGUAGUUAUUUUCUUAGAAAUGCAAUAGUAAAUCAGUUACAGAAGAUUAUGCAGAUUUCAUGUAUUUUCACAAAAGUCAAAUUUUACAUUUACGUGUACAUGAUAUUCUUUUUUUCUGGUGUCUAUAACAACCUAAUCUUUAACAGAAGAUUAACGCAAUAGUAAAUCAGUAUCAGACAAUUAUGUAUGUUCGAUGUAUUCCAAGAAGUCAAACUUCAUAUUUAUGUGCAUAUUUAUGUGUUAUUUAUUUUCUGAUGUCUAUAAGAACAUAAAUAGAAGGAAAAACAAGCUUACAUAUAUAUAUAUUCAUACAAGAGAGGAAAGAAAUAUGACCUGUGUCAACAAAGAUCUUCAUGUUCAUUAGCUCCCGAACAUGUGAAUCAUGAAAUACUAAAAUCCCUUCCAAAAUAAUUACAUCUGAAGGGUUAACCUGACAAAGAUUGGUGAGGCUUUGGAGUCAACCCUUUCCAGAAAACAAACAAUAAAAAAAAAAGACUGAAAAUACAUCGAAUCAUCUCGAGUACACAGAAAAGAUAGUUAAGUUUGCAGCCUUUAGAGUUGCGUAGGACGUGAAUGCAAAGGCAGAUUGUAACCAUUUAAUAGCAAUACAGAUUAUCAGUUUAGCUAGGUAAUUUUUUUUUUAAUUAACAAUCAUUUUCAUGCAGAAUUAAAAUGACAGUGAAUGGCAAGAAAUAUGACUGUGAGUGCAUUCAGAGGAUAUCUUUUCAUAGCAUGAUCAAGUCUUGUAGAAAAGAUUAUUAGAGUGCUUGGGCUUUGUAAGGAUUUACUUACAUUUGUCGCAAGUACAAAGAGCAAUUUGCUGUAAAAUUUAUGUUUUACACAAAAGAAUUCCACCAAGUAUUCCAGGAAUGAUGGGCUUGCAACGAAAAUUCAUAUGUGAGAGCAAAAUGAAAUACUAGCAACACAGGGAAGUACUCUAUUGCAAUCAGCACGAUGUUGUGUAAAUGAAAAUGGACAAACUAUCAGAAAGUGCGGUAUACCUUUCGGGCCGGCGAUACAUUCCUAUGAGUUUUGAGAUCAUAAUUAGGGAUAUCAGCAGGCCUUCCGUGCUUCAAAUUCUCCAUACAAGAAAGUAACUUUUCAGUAUCAAAAGCGUCUGCAAUGAAAAAUAGGUUCAAUAUAAGGAAAAGCAGGCUUUCUCAUAUAAGUUCAUUUGAAAAUAUAAUACUAACUACCGGUGAAGUAGCUAAAAUGCAAAACAAUACAAUCAGGUAACAUUUGUCGCCAUGCAUGCAUGUAGAUAGGUAGGCGAUAAUGUGCACAAAAUGUUUCUCGACAACGUGGUAACUCCACAGUAUUUCACUACAGAGAAAUCGGCUGAUAUUAGAAAAUAUAGAAAAACACUCGUGCAAGUGGAAAUAUGGCUAUUAGUGUGGUGAGCAAUCUUGAUCUAAUAUUGCUGAUUUUCCUAAGAAAGCACCCUAAAUAAAACUUAAAAGGAAGAUAAGAUGUACCAGGAUGGUCAAAAUUGUAUUCAUGAACUCGACUUGAUUCCUCUUCUGAUAAACUAUGGUAAAAAGAUUCCUGCAACAGCAUAUUUGAAUAGGUCAAUGUACCAUAUAAUGAACAAUAAUUCAGUUAAUGGAAUGAUGUUGAGAACUGUUGCAAGAAUAAAAUAGUAACUCACAUAAUUAGAAUGAAAAUUCAGAUUACUUUCCAUGCUCAAAUAGGCCUUACUAUUAUGCCAUUUACACUUAAUAAUUGCCUCAAAAAUAAAUUAAUCAAUCACACAGGGAGCUUCUUUCAUCUCUACAGGAUACAAUCAGCCCCAGGACAACUGUCUAGAGUUCAGUAUCUGGUCAACCAAGUGGUUCGCCAGUUAAUCAACCAACAUAGCUGAUGACCGGUCAAUAAUCAACUGUUCCAAGCAAGAUCAUGGUUUAGACAAUUUCAAGCUUACUUGACAAGAAAACUUCCUGUAUGGUUCUUUAUGCUUAAAGUUCGAGGUGGUUUCAGGCUAUAAUUCUUUGCAGUGUGCUUUUAAACAUCAGAAAAAAGGAUAUUCUCGAUUAAUAGAAGCUUAUUUUCCCUCCUAAGAAGGCUUUCUUACUUAAAAGAGAACAUCUUCCCUUAGUCAAUGAAAGCUAAUUUCCUUCCAAAGAAGGCUCUCUUUCCUUAGAUCAAUUAAAAAAAAGUAUGAUGAAUAGUUUAGUUUCGACUUUCCAGUCUCUGGCCAUAAGUUGACCAACAAAAUGCAGCCACAAGAGUAAAUUAUAAAAUAAAUAGGCUUAACUAGAAACUUAGUGCACGAUCGUUAGUUUGUAACAAAAAGAGGAUUCAGAAAUAGUUUAGCGUUAUAAAUGAUUUGCCUCUGUUAGAUUGAAACAAACUGAAAUACAUUGAAGUAACAUACAAGAUGGCAGAUUUGCACUACCUGAUUUACAAGGACAACACGUUGAUCAUGUAGCUGCUCAAUAAUCAUCUCACAUACGGUGCUCUUUCCUGAAGCUGCACCACCACCAACACCUAAAAAUGGGGGGUGGGAGAGGUGGGGGAAUAAUUCUAGUCCACUUGAAUAUUCCAUUCAAAACUUCCACUUAAUAAAUAUUCUGAUACUUGUAAAUAAUCACACAAAUAGCAAAAAGCAAAUCACUAAGAUUACCGACCAAUAACAAAGGGUUCUCUGUGUCCAUACUCCUUUGGUGAGGUUGUUGGUUUUUUCUCCUGUUGAGAACUUUUUAGCUGCGACUCAUCCAGAUGAAGUCCUGAGAAAUGAACUCCAGCAGGGCUCUCCAGAAAACCAUUCACGGAGUUUGAGCCCAUUAGAAGGGAGCUUAUGUGGGGGAAUAACACAUGCAAAACAGAAUUGGUUCUUAAGAUGAGAAGAAUCUUCCAAAUUAUUAAUAUUUCAUAAGCUUCAGUCCAAAUAUAUAAUUCCUCAAUAAACUAAUGAGAUAGCAUCAACAGGUUAUCUGAUAUGCCAUAACCAAUCAAACUGCUAAAAAGCUAAAAAACGAUACCCAGCAAGUCUUCACCGUUUAUUUCCAUUUAUAGUUUAAUCUUCAAGGUAAAGGCCCAAGGAAAUACGGCCAAAGUAGAAAUUCUGCUGGUAAGCCUCUAAUUCUCCAAACGACCAGAUAUAUUACAUUCGUUUACAAUAACAAGUUGAAUCCUGUGCUGAAGCAAACAUCAUUAUGCAUAUCUAAGAGCUUAUUUACUCUUCUAAGCCUAACAACGAAAACAAAUGGUUAAAAGAACAAGAUGUUAGGAAAGAGUAGAUUAAUUUGGGGUGGUGCUAUUGUGCUUUUGGAACCAUGGAGACCUUCAUGGUUCUGCUUCACUUUCAAUAACAUGGCAUCUGAAUCAACAGUCACCACUGUUAAACAUGGCCUAAGGUAUUUGAACUACCCAAAAACCAAAUUUCAUGAUUUUGGAUAAAAAUUUUCUACCACAUCAAUUGACUACAAAACGAAUGUCAAAACUAAACAGCUUUCUUAAACUGGAGAAUAAGAUUGUUCAAUUCGGGGUUGGGGUUAUUGAUCUAAAUCUGGACAGUGAAGAGAAUAUUCCCAGAAAAAAUAGACUGAUUAAAUGAACAAACACCAUGUCGGUCAUCAAACUGUCAACUUUAACAUCUUUCGUUCAUCAGGUAAAUAUACCAGAUCACCUUUAACAAUGUCAAUCGACAAUUGUGAUGCCCUAUCAUCAAAAAAUAAAGUGGAAACACAAAAGGCAAUGGCCUUCGUUUUGUGGUGCCUCCGUGCUACUAGUGGGAUUAAUCUUGCAAACAUAGUCACAUCCCGAUAGUAUAAAUCGAUAAUUUAACAAGCAAAUGCACCUCGAUUUGAUUCCCAACCACAAAUCACUUCGCUAAACCCGAAUAACCCUUCCACAAUCUAAUUAACGGAAUCAAAUAAAAAGGACAGAUCUCUUGAAAAAAGAAAAAAAAAAAAAAGAGAAAAGAUUUGGAGGCAAUGCGAGGAUCUAAACAACAACAGAAUCCGAUCAGAAUUCCGAUCGCGACAUUAUGGAACCAAUCGUACUCAACGAGUUCCCAGAUCCAGCUAGAAUCUGAACGUACAAGGGUGUGGAGAUACCGGUACCGAUCGACUCCUCCGCCUCCGGCGAUCUCCGUGGCGCUGCGUCUCCGAUCGGCGACAAUGUCGACGGGGAUCGAAUCCGAAGAGAUUGGGGAAUAAUGGGGAAAGAGAGAGAGAGAGAGAGUGUGUGUGGGGUUCGAACACCUUUGCAUGCGCUCGAAUAGCGGGGCGAGGGGGACGGAGGAGGAGGAAACUAGGACGAGAAUGUAAUUUAAAAAACAAAAUAAAAAAUAAAAAAAAUAAAAGGAAAGAAGAAAAUGUAUGGAGACCCCUCAACUAUAUUUCGGUUUGCAACAGGUUUUUUCUUUGGGUAAACUUCAAAUAUCACCCCUGUGGUUUCUCACUUUUUCACUUUAAUACUAUGUGGUUUAAAGUAUACCAAGUUAGUACACUGUGGUUUUAUUUUUCUCUUUUCAUCAGCUCAUCCGUUAAUAUUUUAUUAAACUAUAUAUAAAAAUUUCAGAUAUCCUAUCUAGGUUUAUGAAUAUUUACUUUAAUACCCUUUAGUUUUAACUUUGUCCCUGAAUUAACGAAAAAAAAUUAGUGAAAUGGAUAAUAAAAAAAGAAGGAUGAAAUCACAGGGUACUAAAUUAAUAUACUUUAAACCACAGGAUACUAAAGUGAGAAAAUUAAAAAUCACAAAAAUAGUAUUUGAAUUUUUUUUUUUGUUGUGCAAUAUAUAUAUGUACCUCUUACACCUCUGAGUCAUAAUUUUUUAUUUAUCAGAUUAAUUUUUUGAUUUUUAUUAUAAUUUAUUUGGAGUUUUGUGAAUAUUUUUAUUUUUCUUCAGUUAAAAUAUACAAAGGAACCCCACAAACCAUUCGCCGUUAAAUUGCACUAGUUUUAUUUGAUAAAAUUGAUUAAAAGAUUAUUAAAUUUGAUAAAUUUACCAAUGAAUUUGUCAGAAUUUCUAACCAAAAUUGGUUAAAUUACAUUAUUCAAAAUAUUUUCGAGUAGGGUGGGUGUCGUUUUAAAAAAAAAAAAACUUCAAAUAUUACCCCUGUAAUUUCACACUUUUCCACUUUAGUAUCGUGUGGUUUAAAGCGUACCAAUUUAGUGUCAUGUGGCUUCAUUUUUAUCUUUUUAUUAUUGAUUCUACUAUUUUUUUUUGUUAAAUCAAUGACAAAGUUAAAACUAAAGAGUACUAAAAUGAAUAUUCGAUAAAUAUAAUUUGAAUUAGAAAUCAAAAGUUUGCAAGGUAACUGUUAGAAAUAAUUUGAAUUAGAAAUCAAAAGUUUAGAGCUAUUAAUAAACCAUUCAUAUUCUUUUGAGAAUAAUAAAAUAUUAAAAUUUGAAAAAUAUAAUUUCAAAUGACAUAUAUAUUCAGAAGUUUCUAUUUUAUUUUCUGGCGCUCGACAAAUCUUUUAUUUGACUGCUUGAAUAUUUUAUUACAUUAACAAAUGAAAAAAAUUACAAAAGGCAUUGAUAACUUACAUUUAAUGCCAAUAUAGUUCUUUAAACUUAUUAAAAAAAAUUGUAAAUGUAAUUAACUUAGAUAACUCAGGUGAGAUAUAUUAGUAGCCAAUAGGAGAGGGGUCUCGGUGCAUAUUUACCACACCCAAAAAAUAUUAGCGUUCUGUAGCUUUUUAAUGCGAUGGGGUCGAGAGACCUCCACGUGGACCCGUGGAGGGCCGCAUGGUGUACUUUUCUGUGUAUUGGGUCGGUGAGGGACACGUGGCGCGAAAUGGUAGGACGGUGGACGGUACUACGCGAGUGGGAUUGUCGGAGAAGUAAUCGAAGAAUCCGGGGGAUGAAGCGGUGGGAUUCGCAGAUUCCGGAGCGAUAGGUGGGGACCACGGGCCGGACCGGUUCAUCUCCGACCGUCCGCAUAAAAGCCCUAUAGGGACAUACAAAUAUCUACCGUUCAUUUUUUUUUUUUUUUGGGUAAAAUGUAUGGAGACCCCUCACCAAUAGAAUUUUGAAAUAGACUCCCCAACUAUAGUUUCUUUUUUUUUUUUUGAGUUAUUAUAUUUAGUUAAGUUAAAAAAUUUUAUUAAACUUAUGGCUAUAUAUAGUAGCUACUAGCCACCAAUUAGUCCAAGUUUAUAUUUGCUAUAAAAGUGAUUAUAGAAUCCAAUUUAAUAAAAUUCUCAAUUUCAUUGAUUAAAACAAUUGAUCAAUUAUAAAAAAAAAAAACUAAAAGUAAAACAAUCUCAAUUAAAAAAAAAAUUGAGGAGGUAAUUUUAAAGUAGCCCUAUAGUGGAGCAGCAAUAUUAUCCAUACACCGUAUAAUAAAAUAUAAACUUUACAUCCUAGACUUUUUGGUGGUGUAUAUAUGAUUUCACUUCUCACAUUAAUUUUUUUAAAAAAAAUUUAUAAAAUCUAUUGAGAUUUUAUAAAUCCUUAAAUUAAGAGGAUAUAAGAUGUACAUCCGUUACAGGUAUACAUAUAUUUUUUCCCAUAAUUGAGAGGCACAUCUUCAAAUUUUUUUUACUUUUCACUUUUUUUUGGAAAAGCUUCAAAACUCAGCCCAAUAAUAUCGCACGAUAAAUAAGGAUCAAACUUCUCACUUCAAAGCAAUGCACUGAUCGUACCAUAUCUAGCACAUUUGGUUAAAAUCUUAAUGAUUGGCAUAUAAGAUUUUAAAUUUAAAACUUUAUUUUAUAUUUUUAGCUAACUUUAUUUUUUAAAAAAAUAAAAAAACGAUAGCAUAGUAACUUUCUAUGUCACAAUAAUAAUAAUAAUAAUAAUAAUAAUAAAAGCUCUCCUGGAUCUGAUAAGUUAUGGGUCUCACUGUUACUGGAUCUGGGAGAAGGAAGGAUAGAGGAGUUUUAAAAUAUAAAAUAAUGUACAAAUAGUUCAUAUACUCUUUAGUAUUGUAAAAUAUUUGUUAUACUAUUUGUUUGGCAAUAUUGAUUAUUGAGCUUUAAAAAGGUUGUUUCAAGAUAAAAUUUAAUAAAUUAAUAUGUAUUUAUUUUACCACUAGAGUGUAAUAUGAAUAAAAGUUCAGAAUCUGAGUAUGUAAGUACGGGUAUAUAUAUUUCACAUUUUAAAUAAGAAAAACAACACCUUAAUCCUCUCAACAACACAUAUAAGCAUUGACUCCCUUUUGUUGUUUCUAUUUUAAAGCCCGUCUGGUAGGGAGUUUCAUCUAAGGCUUAGUUUAGGAUUGCGGGGAGAUAGCGUUACGUGCGGUGAGAAAGUACAUUGAAAAAAUAUUAUGUUUAUUUUCGUAUUUAAUAUUGCGUUUCGCAUAUCGCGAUGAGUCAGUUACAAUAUAUUUCUGCGGUACCACCGGAGAACGCAGAAUCAUAUCUCUAUAUAUUUUUUUUCUCAACUCUAUUUUAUCUAACAGUGUUUGAUAGGCCUCAAUACCAAAUUAAGCCUAAUAUUAUUAUGCAAAACAGAGUUGGAGGAAAAAAUAAAAUAAAAUAAAUUUUUUUGUUUUUUGAUGGACCAUAAAAAAAAUAUAUCUCAUUACGAUUUGCGUAAUCGGACUUUCUCACUGUACGUACGUACCGCAAUCUUCUUAUAAUUCCAAACAGAGUAAGUAAACUGAAAUGUACAUAUUUGCUAGCUAAAUUUCAGACGAAGAUGAAAAAUUUAACAAAACAGCUCCCGUAAACAAAAUUCUCAACUCAUUAAGAAAAGAAAAAGUCGAAUCAAAACAAACAAAUUAAAAUUAAGAAGUGGUGAUGAAGAUUAAAUUAAACUUAGUUUCAUUGGAAAUAUACAAGCACAAAUUACAAACAUAUAUGUGAGUGCUAGGGUUUUUGUGUGUCCACUUAGCCGUUGGUUUGGUGGGAGUUCUAAGUUUGAAUUCGGUGGCGACUGCGACGUCCCAACGUAGGUGCAUGAACAUGAAGUUGUUGAGUUGGUGCUUUCAUUCGCAUCAUCAUCAGCACAUGAAAUGUAUUGUGUUAGAAACUUAAUUGUUUUGUACUCAUGCUAUGGGUACUUUUUAGUGGACCCCUCAAUAUAUAUACAUGAGUUAGAUUAACUUUGGAACUUACCAUUGUACUUUGGUUCAUGUUACGUUGUAUUACCGGUUAUCUCAGCAUGACUAAUAAUCCGACAUCUGUUAUUCAGAUUACUACUAAUGCUGUAUUACUUUAUUUGGUUCAAUACAAUAAUAUAAUAUCGGAUUACUGUAUAUCUUGUGCUAUUAGUAUUAAUGCUGCAUUAUCAAUCGGAUUAUUUGCGAGAUAAACCAAAUAUAAUAAUUUGAAAAUAUAGUAAUAUGAAAAUAUUCUUGUAGGAUAUUCUAUAAUUCUGACAGGAUAAUGCGAACCAAGUAUCUUGAAUUUCUAAAUGAGAUUACUACUAAUGAUGUAUUAACGCGUUUGAUUUAAUGCAGUAAUGUAAUACUAGAUUAUAGUGUUUAUAACAUUACUAUAUUUGAUUCAGUCUGUAAAAUUUAGUAAUUUUCACAAUAAAAAAUAGUUUAUUUCAAAAUCAUCCUUAGCCAUAUUUGGCAAACUUUUUUUUACUGUUUACAAAUAAUAUUUUUUUCACUAAAUUUUAUUUUAAAUAAUUUAAAUUUUUAAAUUUUAAAUUUAUAAAUUUAAAAUCUAACAUUUUAAAUAUAAAUAUAAAUUUAAAAUUUAAAAUUUAAAAUCUAAACUUAAAAUUUAGAAUUUAAAAUACAAAUUUCAAUUUUAAAAUUUAAAAUUUAAAAUUUUAGAUUUAAAUUUAGAUUUAAAAUUUAGAAAUUUAAAAUAAAAUUUUAAAAAUUUAAAUUAAAAUUUAAAUUUUAAAAUUAAAAUUUAAAUUUAAAUUUUAAAUUUUAAAUUAAAAUUUAUAAUCUAUAAUUUUAAAUUUUAAAUUAGAAAGUUGACUAUUCAAAAUUUUAAAUUAAAACUUUUAAAAUGACGUAUUGAAAGGAUUCGAGAGUUGGAAGGGUAAAUUUGUAAUUUUAUAUAACAUGCAAGAUUAGUCGCUUUCAGUAAUUCAAGAUACACACCUCCUCGAUAAUAUUUUCAGUGUAAUCUUACACUUUGUAAUGCCGCAAUACCGAACAACGCAAUACCGAACAUAUUACAUAUCAAAUAAACCAAACGCAGUAACUCUGACAGGAUUGUUUGUUAUCCUGCCAGGAUAACCCGAACCAAACGCACCCUAAUGCACAUAAUAAUAAACACCAGGCCGAAGGAUGGUGCUGGGCAGGAUAUCCAUGAAUCCGGCCCGGCACAGCCUGGCCCAGAUUUUGGCCCAGGCCGCCGGUGAAUGUGGGCAGUCCCGCAUUACACCACUCAGGCACACUAGCUCCAGUCAUGUGGUCAGAAUAUACUAAAAUUAAGUACUUCCACAGAUUCUACUUCAUACCCUUCACAUAAGUACAGCAGUUGAUAGAUUUGAUUCUGAACGUUACCAAGGAAUACUUACAAGUUCUCUUGCUUGCUAAUAUACUCUCCUAAUAACAUGCCAAUUGUGUCAUAAUCUCUUUCCAUUUUGAAUUAUGGAAAUAAAAGUCGAGUAAUGUUUAGAAAAAAAGAUGCUUGAGAAGCAGUUUCUAUUAAGAGUAUUAGUUCCACAAAUUACGCAGUUUUCAGAUCUUCUCUCCCCAUUUCCGUACUUCAACAUCCAGAACAACAAAAAGACUAUUAAGUCAAGCCUACAAAAAUUUCCAUUGGCAAAGAUUGAUCGAAAUCGAACAAUUAAAGCAAUAAACUGAAACUGAUCGACAAAACCAACAAUUAGGAAGAAGAUGGUCAAGACUAGAAAAUCAAUAUGGACAACCAUAACAAAAAUCAUAAGCCAUUUAGAGCCCCUCAACAAAUAGCCCAAGCCGUAAUUGAUCAUUCCCACAGUCAUAAUAGCAUGUACACCAAAAAAGUAAAAGAAAUCUAACAUCCGAAAGCAUUACUUCGUGCUAGGAACCAGCAGUCAUACCUUCUUUUGGAGCGCAAGUGACACGCAGAAUUGCUUGAGCACUUAAGGGAGGAAGCUGUUUUUGGCAAAAGGAUUCCCAAGAAUCGAUGUCCGAUUCCUCGAGAGAAUCUUUGGAAGUUUGGGCUUGAAACUUUCCAUAGAAGGUUUGCAAUUCUAAUGCAAGGAUCCGAGCAGCCUCCCUCGAUUCAGGUAGUUGGUCGCUAAGCUGAGAUGCCGCAAUCUGGAUUAGCUUAUCGAUCCCAUAUGAUUUAAUUCCAUCUAUUCCCUGUAAAAGAUAUGAUUGUUAUCUUGUAUGCAAAUAAAUUGAACCUCAUACUUAGAUCUAGUACUGCCGGCAUAAAACCUGUAUGCCAUGGUUGAAUCUAUAACAAAUAAGUUACAUCUUAUUAACCAAUUUCUGAAGCCAUGAAAUUUUCAUUCAAUUGCAGUUCUUGAGAUUUACCCCUUGUUCGACUCGCAGUAGAAAUUGGAUAUAAGACAAGGGUAGCCAUCUUCUCCCAUUGCUAUUUCUUAUUUACUAUUCUCAAGUUAUUUCAAACUUCUGUCUAAAACAAGUUACUGUUUAAGAGAGAUACUACAUAAAGACUUGUGCAGUAGAGGUUUCUCAGAAACCUUCGAUGGUAUAACCAAAAACAGUGUUCCUGAAAUGUAGUUAAACAUAUAGAAAAUCUAACCGUGUAUAUAUAGUUACAUACAUACUUAUACAUCAAAACAAAUCCAUCUAAUACACCUUUAUUAUAAACCAAGAACAAGAAAAAGCAAUAAAUCAAGGGAUAAUGACAUUUAGAAUCUUAGAUAUUUUCAAUUGGCAAGAAAUAGAAAGAAACAUAGCGACUUUGAUGCGAAACAGAACAUGCAACAAACUACCAAUUAGACACUUCUAUAGGAUGCAUCAUAUAUUGAAAACUGAUAUAUUUGUACAACAGAAAAAACCUAAUGAGAAGAAUAACACUUUGUGCAUAGAUAAAAAGCUCUUAUGACUUUAGUUUGCACAGAAAAACAAUAUUGACCAGUAUUCUGGUCAAUUGUAUUAUAGAGUCAAGUUAUUUAGUUACUCAAUUUCUAAUCUGGUUGACAACUGAAGGUCCCUUGCUUUGUGAACUUCAGAAGAAGAGAAAAAGAACAAAAAAACAACCUCCCCUCAAGGUUGCAGUACAAUGUAUAGCAAUGAUUAGCUUCCAUCGAGAAAAAAAGUAGAAUUGCUUGAAAUGUUACAUUACGAGAGCACCCCACGUGGCUAUGGGAAAACUGCCGAUUCAUGUAUUUGUAAAGAUGAGUCAAAUAUGUAACUUACAAGUUGAGGAACACUCCUGCUGAAACACAUUGAUGCCUUUGCUCGUACUCGAGGAUUCUUGUUCUUGAGAUACGGGUGCAAUUUUGGCAACAAUGCAGAAGGAGAGACCCAAGUUGUCAUGGCUAUUAGGGCUGCCUCAGCCGCUUCACAAACGAAGCGUUUGUCUUGUGAAGAUUUCAGAAGCAGUUGUACAAGCUGAAACACCAGCACAAAGAUUUUUUUUGGUUAAGAAGAUUUUGAGAAUGCCUAUUUAGUUGCUAGCACCUAGUAAAUAGAAUAUAAUUAACCAGUAGCCUCUAAACUUUUGCAACAUUGCUAAUUAGUCCCUGAACUCACUCAAACACUUUAGCCCCUAACUUCCUCAUAUAUUGAAUCGCAUCCCUGCCCCCAGUCUGCCGUACAAAAUACCCGAUGUUUAGGAAGUCACAUACUCGGCACAUGACCUUUUCCCUAUAAAAUUACACAGUUAAUCAGAAACUGGGUCGAAAUGGUCAUUUAAAAAUAUUUGAUAUUUUGGAUGGCAAGUGGGUCCAAGGCGGUACCUGCAAUAAAUAGGAAAGUUCAAGGACUAAAAUGUACAAAGAGUUCUGGGACUUGGUCACAAUAUCGCCACAGUACAGGAACAAUCUAUAGUAUCUAUCUUGAUUACAGUUCAACCGAACAAAAUGAGAAAUUAAAAAAUAUAUGAGGACAUACCAGUGGAUCAAGUGAAUCAACUAUUAAAUCAUUGUAAACCUUAAAGAUGUCUGCCGAUGUCAUAAUUGCAGUUUUACAGACCGCACUCCUCGGAUUUUUUACCGACUUCACAAUCAGUGGAAUCACAAUUCCCCUGUUACAUAGAUAAUUUUUUCUAAUUACAAUAGUGUUACAAAAAUGCAAACUAAAUGGGGAAGAAAACCUAUGCAAGUGAAUUAUAUAUAUGCGAAAAAAAAGGACUUACAACAGCUCAAACAGCUUUUCCUUGUGGUAUAUCGAUAGUUGGCGAACAUUAUUCAAUGCUUCACAUAUCACCAUCCAAUCCUUUGAGUCCAAUCUUUUAACUAGUGUCUGCGCAAGAUUAUGGAAGACAUUGAAGAUAUUAUUACAAAUGAUAAAAUGAAAAGGAAUACAUGAUGAAAAUAGAUCUGAUAAGUAAAAAAAACAUUCUAGAGCCAUUUACAUGUAAAUCCCAAAAUCAACUAUCUUACUCAUUUACCCUUUAUAAAAUUUUAAAAUUUCAUUUCUAAUCCUUAAAAUGCAGUUUCUUACAAAAUUAACUCUAUCUUAAGUUGGGGGGGAGUCAUCCACUUCAUGGGAUGAACUGGUAUUGUAUUAUAAAGAGGGACGUCUCCAAAAGUAUGAGGCUAUAUAUGUAAAAUAUUAAGUUUUUGAAGGGCGUAGAUGAAACUUAAGAUUUAGCAGGAACAAAUAUACAAAUGAAAAAUUCUGCAGGGAUAUAUACAUGUAAAUAGCUCUACUUUUAAAUGAAGAAAUCAAGAAGCGGAUAUUAAGUCGUACAGUAAGACUGGAAUCAACAUCUGAAAGAUCUGUCAGGUUCUCAGAUUCUAUAUACUCGAUUUCUGAAUUCCCAACUUCUGAUCCAUUAACUGCAGCAUUAACCUCAUUUAGUGGAGAAGAGGUCACAGAGGGAGGAUUCUUGCUCUGCGACUUAUCAAUACUCUCAUUGCCGUUCCAGAUAUAAUGCUUAGUGAUAUUUCCUUUAGCAGAGCUUUCAUGUAACUUUUCUAAUUCUGUAAGUGGAAGUACGUUAAGAUCUCUCAGGGCUGUUCCUGACAUGUUCACCUUGCAACUCUGGAUUGAAAGGGCAAAGAAAGGAGAAACAGAACACAUAGCAAAUGAGGAUUAAAAAGGUACUUCCUCUAACCACCGAACAAGAAAAUAAAAAAAAAAAGAAAUUAUAUAAAUCAAAGUUUGGGUGAAUCAAAAUUUUUGCUUGCAAAAUUGCAACUUGACCAAACAUUCGCAUUGAAUUUAGAGAAUAUGCUCUCUCUUUGCAAGCCAUGUCUGUGCAUUACUAAUUGUCCAUAUUCAACCAUGCGGCAGUACUUAUGAUUUGAGACUUUUAAAAUGGAAAUUUAUUUUCUUGAUUCCUUAUUUAUGGUAUAUUCGGUGAACAUAUUGCCAAAAUAUCCUCCUUUCAUGUUGAACCAUGUAAUGCAAAUUAUGCAGCUCAUCAUAAGAAUCAAGAGGCAGUCUCCAUCAAUGCAUCAAUAAUCCCUUUCAGCCAAAUCAACAAGAGCCCUCAGAAACCAGUAAGCUUGAAUAACUCUCAAGAAAACCACAGCACCCAAGAAAAAUCAUCUUUCGUGCACUCUAUGGAACACUCAAUUGACAAAUCAUGCAUUUCAGGUUGGGGCUGGAAGAAAAUGAACUUAAAAAGAAAAGUACUUGAAGAAUAGGAAAAGUAGUUGCGCCUGCAUUAGUGCAGGUUCAGAUCUACAUGAUGGGGCAAUAACAUUAAUGUAAUCUCCUGAAACGAGAACAAUGAUGUCAGAGAUGUAAGGUAAAGCAAAGGACACACAGCCAGCUAGGAAGGGAAAGGAAAAGAGGUACACACUGUGAAACCAAAUAUGCAACAAAUGUAAAGCAUGCCUUUAGAGCGCAUUCAAUACGCACUAGAUCUAAGACUUUUAAUCAGAAAAAAGGAGAUACAUGGAUACUAAGCAUGGCCAUUCAUGCAAAGAAUUAAGUCACUAAUAACGCGUUGACUGCCAUAAACCAAUGGUAAGAUGCUAAACACAUGAUAGACAAGAAAAACUUCCUUUUUUCCUAUGUUUCUAGAUUCUAGAUUUUGCACCUUACCAGUUAUCAAUCUCGUGUUGUUGUUGGAUUGUAACAAGAUUUGCCAUCUAGGAAAUGUUCGAACAGCUGACAACUAAUGCCUCUUAAAAUUCUAUAACUUUCCAAAUGCAUUUUGAUGGUACAAUCAGUUUUGUAUAAAACUAUAGCACUGAAUGAAAGUGCUACUGCUGAACAAUUCUGUGACAUCCUCAAAUGUGCAUAUACCAUUAUGCACCUUGGCAUAUUAACAAAGUGAGAUGGAAGCUCUGAUCAUCAUUGAACACAAAUACGCUAGAGGAACAAAUGGAAUCAUCCAGUUCACACAUAUCACCCUGUAUGCAGUAGUAGCAUUAACUAUAGUACUGUUCUACACUACACAGUAUCGGCCAAGUAAAAGAAAUCAUUGUGUCCAUUUUGCUUCUUUUUUUCCCUUUCCUUUUCUCUCUGCCACUCUAUGUGGAAGACUAAUUCACUUAUUUCUUCUAAGGCAGUGGUCAGUUGUAGACUGCAGAAUUACAAAAGAAGAAAAUGAACAGAACUUUAGGUCUGCGCGCCGAAAAGAUGUAAACAUUAAUUGAAAAGGACUUGCACAACAAAGUUAUAAUGAUAAGUAAAUGUUCUUAACAGAUCUAGGCUAGAGUACACGGAAACUCGCCUCAUGGGAGGUCAUUAUCAAACCUUGCCAAGAUAGUUACAGCACGAGCAAUUUUCAAGUUACGGCACCCAAUAAAUUAGGCGACUAACACAUCAAUUCAAUCAAAUAUUUCGCUUCUGCCUGCAUCACAACCGCAUAGACUACACAUCUAAAUCUACAUACCGAUCAAUCAAUGCAAGAUCUCAUCAAAGAAGUAGCCACAGCGAACGAUCACAUUCCCAAAAAAAUCAUUUCUUACUCACUCACUACUUAGAGACCAAUCAUGAACAUAAUUGAACUCAUCUUCACUCCCUGAACUCGACUUUGUUACCACCUUUCAGCUCAAAACUACACUGAAAUUCUCCAACAAAAUACCCAUUUCAUACUAAUUUCGGCUUCAACAACGAUGAAAGUGCAAGUAAAAACCCUAAUCAACAGCUACAACUUCUUCAGAUCACGCCGGUCUCACUCCCAAAUCUCAUAGCGCUUAAUACAAGAUCUACCACACGAGAUCCGACCACGAAUCACUAAAGAAACGAAUCUGACAUCUACGAAUCUCGAAUUAGUACAAACGCAUCAAAUCGAAGAGCUUAACCCAUUAAAAAAAACAAAAAACCAGAUUCCUGAACGAGAUCGAACAAAACUUACAUGAGUCGAUUCGAAAAGAGAAGUGUAAACAGUAACCAAUUGGAGUAAGCGGAGAGGAUCGGCGAGGAGAGAGCGCUUACCGAAGAGAGCGACGGAGAGGGAAAUGGACGGGACCGUAGGUAGCGAAGGGAGGGAUCGCUCUCGCUUCUCUCUCCUCUCUCCUCCCCUCUCUCUCUCUCUCUCUCUCUCUCCGCCUCGUGGAAAUGUCGGGAGUUAUAGUUUUUUUUUUUUUAUUCUUGUUUUUUGUAAAUUAAUUUAUUCGAAAAAACUACCAUUAUUAAAAAAAAAAAUUUCUAUUUAUGAGAGCUGUGCUAUUUUAGUUAUAGUUUGGCUUUACGUACCAAGAAUGUCCCCCGCCAAUAACUUUGUGUGUUUAAUUACACACAUCCCUUAUUUUUACCAACCAUUUAACUUUCAUCUUGCGUAAAUUGCACGUUGGUCCUCAAACUAUGAGCUCGGUGAUAUUUUUGACCUCAAAUUUAAAUUUAUUGUAAUUUUUAGCUUAAACUUUUAGAAUUAUUACAAUCAUAUUCUGCAAUCUAACUUAGUCGACUAAAUCUUGAUGCAUCAUUAAUGUAAAAUAAUAUAACAUCUUAAUUAUUAUUGUAUCAUCAAUUAUAAGACUUUUAUAUUAUUUUUAUAUUACUAAUUUAUUAGUCGACUAAAUUAAGUAAUGAGGUUUAAUUAAUUAUAAUAAUUCAAAAAUUUUCAGUUAAAAAAUACAGUAAAUCAAAGUUUGAGAAUCACAGUGUUACACAUAACUCAUAGUUUGACGAGAGAACUUGUUAUUUACCGAUUUUUAAUAUAAUUCCUAAUUUUUGAGAUCUUAAUGUCUUUUCAAUUAAUUUCUUUCAACAAAAAUCUUAUCAACUUUACUGUAUGAAUUCAAAAAUAAUGUUUGGAAUAGUAUUUGAAUUCAAUUUACAAUCUCACCUACAACAAUUGGCCAGAAAUCAAUAAUCCAAUUUUAAAAAUAAAUAAAUAUAAUUUUAACGAUCAAAUAAAAAUUAUUACCUGCAGAAUGCGAGAAAAUGAUAAAUAAAAUUGGCAUAGUUAUAAUGAUUACGUCUGCAAUUUCACGAAUUUAUACCAUCUAUCUAUACCAUGAUAUUAAACUGUAAUAUGUUGUCACAUUAAAUUCUUUCCUUCACUUGGAUUGUGGGCUAUACCUUUAAGUAGUGCUCCUUUGAACUGAAUCCCCUUAACCGGCCCACAUUUUUUUCUUAGAUUGUCUUUGAACUGAACUGGUCUAUUUUGUUAUAUACUAUGUAUUGAAUUAUAUUCUUCACUAAACCAGCUCAUCUUUUUUUCCUAUUCUUUCUUUGAACCGAACCGAUUUAGUUUGUUAUAUACUUUAUUUGAACCCGAUUCUUCUCUUCUUAUCUGAACCAUACUGGCUCAAUUGUUGCUUUUCUUUAUUUCUUUAUUUGAACAAACCAGCUUACUUGAAUCAAAUUCUUCUCUUUAGCCUAAACCCUAAAUCGUUCUUCAACCGAGAUUUUCUUCAUCUGCUUCAGCCAUGGGAGGUAAAAGGUUAUAUAACUGUUGAACAUAAAGGCUCUAUAACUGUUAUCAAAAACUCAAAGAUCAUGAGACAACUCUUGGGAUUCACUUUGUAAUGAUGAGGGCUAUUUUCUUUGUUUUAGUAGGCAUAGUAGGUAAGUAAUUGUGAGUGAUUAGUUGCCAAGUUUGAUAUAUUUUAGAACAUAUAAAUAGGUAGGUUGGCUAAGAUCAGAAAAUAGUAAAAUGAGUACAUAUAAUAUUUAUUUCUAAGUAGCGAAGUACAAGGUGCCCUCUUUUUUUAUUGUCGUUUUCUAUGCGGGGCUCAAAUCCUCGGCACAAAGGAAAAGGCAUUUAGGUAUCAAAAUAUCCGGAAAAGAUGAAGAUAUAAAAAGUGAGUGAAAAUGAAAAGAUGGAAAUGAGAAGGAGAGGGAAAGUAGUAGUACAAGAAAAUGUUUGAGAGAAGGAAAAAAAAAUAUAUAUAUAUAUAUAGCACGUCGAUUCCUAUUUUCUACUCGCCGUUUUCACUGCUGUAUUAAAAAAAAAGGGAAAUUUGGUAAAAAAAAAAAGGGGGAAAUUUGGUGUUUAAAAGCGAAGCAAUGUGCUAGGGUGAUUUUGGGGUACCCAUAAAUAUGAUUUAUUUGAAAAUAAGUAAAAUAUGGGGGCCUCCGAGAGAUGGGGGUGUUAGGUGGACCGGAUUGUUGACUCGGAUGGUGGGAAAACGACCCGCUAUCUCUCCACAGGUUAUAACUCCUGGACCCGGCCCACCGCAACAUCCAACAGCUACGCAACUUUUCCCUGCACCUUGUGUACCGUACACCGCCCUCCCAAAAAUCCAAUCAUAUAUAGAUGCAUCCGAAGAAAAAAAAAAAGUCAAAUUAAAAUUCGACUACAAAAUUUGAAAUCGGUUGAAUCUAAAGCCGAGUAUUUAAUAUGUCUUAAAUUAUUAGAUAUCAAACUAAAUUUUGAUUGGGCAACACCGGGUUUUGGAUAUUUUUUUAAUCCGACCGUCCAAUACCUCUCGGUUCUGCCACGUGGCAGCAUCAGAACCCCGCCUUCAGAUACUGUAAAGAAGCGGCCAAUAAAAAUGAGGGCCGGCUGCAACAGGGGGAAAUUUGCCUGGACCGUGGUGCACGGUGGACCGGCUACUUAAACCCAAUCAGAGAAGUGUCAUGAGGCCCGUGAUAGUUUAGGCAAAACAGAGUAACGGUGAAAACAUACAGCAAAAUAAUUUUUCAUUUUCUGAGGAGAUGAGAAAAUAUACCGUAACUUCUUCCCAUAUGCGGCAUGCGCCCCAUAUGGAAUAUAUUCGAAUUAUUAUCGAGUCGAACACGAGUGAGCUGGUCUUAGCUCCUAUUCGGCUUGUUUAUUAAACAAGCUGAAAAUUUCAGUUCGUUUACUAAACGAGCAAUUCGAUCUUAAGUUUAUUUCGAACCGAACACGAGCUGGCUCGCGAACAGCUAGCUGGAUUGCUACCCCUAAACAUGGGUAUUUUAAAUUAAGAGAUAUUCGCUGGUUUUUUCACUGUUAAAGCGGCUAGUAGGUAAUUUUAAAAAGCAAAAAAUAUAUAUAAUAUAUCUAAUCUAAACUACUAAAAAGUAAAUACCCAUUUGAUAUAAAAGGUUACUUGACUUAAUACUGAACUAAAGAUAUAUAUAUGCUUUAUCAUUUAUCGAAACAAAUAAAAUAUUUUUUCAAUCUGAUAUAUUCUUUAACCAUAUUUUUUUAUCUUAUGUAAUGUAUUCUGUCUAUAAUAUAACGUAGGCAAUAUAGAUACACAUUAGAAUAUUAUUUGGUUGUAAAUUGUAAUCUUUAACUUGGUUAGGCUCAAAUUUGGGAUGAUUUAAAAAGUAAUCUUUAAGAUAAAUUUUUGUGCAUAUCUUAUUUGAGGAUAGAUAUGAUUAAGUAAUAUCUUGAAGAACAACAUUAUUAUGAGUUUAUGACAUCAAAUGUGUAACAACCCAUAUUUUCUCUCUCCUCUCUCUCUCAACUUCCUCCGGGUGGCAAAAUUUAAUCCGACCCGUUUAUUAAUCCGAUCCAACUUUAAAAAAAUAAGUUGAUUUGAAUAAAAAUUUCGGUUCGGAAAAUUGAGUCCACGAAAUUCUUCUAUGGCUAGUUUAAAAAUCGGAUCGGAUCCAGAUUAAAAUAUUUGAAAAAAAAAAUCUUGUAAACUAUCCGAUUUCGUGUUAAUAGUUUAAAAAGCAAAUUUUAUCAUGAUAUUAGAUAAUUUUUUAAAGUUUUGACUAGUUUGAUUUGAAAUUAUAUAAAAGCGUCUCUAUGAUUACAGUACUUUCAUUUUUAAUGUAUAACCAUGCGCUUUAAAUUUUAUUUAUUAUUAUAUUUUCACUAAUUUGAAACAUUGAUUGAUUAAAAAUUAAGCCAAAUCGGAUGUGAUUCGGACAUCCUUCUCCCAACCGGGUUUGGUUUUUCGGAUCGAACAUGCCUUCCAAACUUCGAAUCCGGGUCCGAUACGUGAACACGGUAUAGUUCGCAUUUUAAUCCUUGCACCUGGUAUUGCCAUAUCUAUACACCACAAACUUAUGGGUCCUUAUUCAUCUCAAACUUUCAAUCGAGUCCGUCAAUUUCUAAUUUUAAGGAACAUCUCUAUUGUGAGAUCGUUAAAUCAACCGUUCAUCACUGCUUUGAUAUUCGGGCAGGUGAUGCACGGUGGAUACAUGGUCCGCAUAAAAUAUUUUCGUUCCUAGAGGUGCACCCGGUGCAAGAAAGAAAGGACUUUUACAAACGGAUUAAUUACAUAUUGGUCCCUGUAAAAAUAUAGUAAGUUGCAAAUAUAUACUUACAAAGUUUAAUUUUUAUAUGUUGUUUCUACAAAAGUCCUAAUAUUUUCAAGUAUGUCCAUACCGUUAGAAAAUUUUAGUUAAUUAUAAGUUAAAUACUUAACCCUGAUUAGUAAACGAGGUAACUCGACAUUUUUAUCCUUUUUAUAUUAUAGCUUAUGCUCUUAAUCAAAAUUUUAGUGACGAGAACUCUUUUUCUUCCCCUUUCAAUUCUUUUCCUCUUUUCUGUCCUUUCUCUCCUUCGUGUUGGUUUCGAACCCACAGCUAAAAUUUCUCCGUCUCCAUUUAUCCACGAAGAUCACGAUGCAUGUUGCUUUGCCCACGUGUUAUUUUUCCAUUCAAUUUUCUCUCUAUUUUUUAUGGCUCAAAAAAAAGUUUAGAAAAAAGAGGAGUGAAAAAAGAUAUUGCAACAACGGUGGAAUGAGUUGAAUUUUACAUAAGAAGAAAAUGAGGAAGAAGAUAAACAUUGAAAUUUUUUGGGGAAUAUUUUUGUACAAUUAUAUAGUUGUUAUGGCUUUUGGAGGGUAUAUUGUGAUGGUAAAAUUGAUAUUUUACAUAUCUGCUGUUAAAAUAUAAAUAAUUCUCCAACGGUAACAAAUCAGAAUGAUAUAUUUAAAAAUAUUAGAAAUUUACAUGAACAGAUAUGAAAUAUUUAAAAAUAUUAAAUUUUUUACAAAAUAUAUAUGGAAGUUGAAUUUCAUAAAAAUAUUUUUUAAUUUACUAUAUUUGCAUGUACUGUAUGCAUUUAAAUAAAAAAAAGAUAAACUUCAAAUAUCACCCCUGUAGUUUCACACUUUUUUCACUUUAGUGUACUAUGAUUUAAAGUGUAUCAAAUUAGUGUCUCGUGGUCUCAUUUUUAUCUUUUCGUCACCUUCUCCAUUAAUAUUAUCGAAUAUUCACUUUAGUACCCUUNGGAGGCUCAGCGACAGCUCCCCGCUACGCGGACGGCGGUGGCGGAGGAGGAAGUGUACGAGAGGGUACCGGUGCCUCUCUCUCUCUCUCUCUCUCUCUCUCUCUCUCCUCUCCCCCCCAAAGUUAAGAAAUUCAUGAACCUUUAAUAACGGACGUGGUCCACAAGAACAUAUGAAAUAUACGGCGUGGCUUAUAAAGUGCUAGACUUUGUCAGUUUUGUAAAUACGUACAAUUUAAUCUAGUUGUUUGGGCCUCUUCUCAAACUAUAAUUUAAUACCCUUUGCUAUAUAGCAACAAGAGUUUUUUAAAUUUGAUCGUUUCUUGAUACAAAAAUCAUAAAUAUAAGUUACGACAUGUUUCUUAAUACUCAAAACUUUUUAGAGAAUAAACUCUUAGUCUAACUACAAAAAUUAUAAAUAUAGGUUAUUACGUAUUUCUUAAUAUCAAAACUUUUGAGAUAAUAGACUCUUAUUUCAUUAAAGAUUCGGAGGAGGAUUGGAGGAGGAUGAUCAGCACGAAGAGGCCGGCGAAGAGGGCGAAGGUCGAGGACUUGCUCCCAUUCGGCUUCCUCGACCCGCUCCCGGGGCCGGCCCCGGUCCUGAUGCCGAUGCCGAUCUCCGUCGUUCGCCCCCCGCCUCCGCACGAGGACGAAGAGGAUAAAGAUCGGGAAGAAUGCGCGGUCGCGACGGCGGCGGCGCGGUGCAGGCAGUUCUGGAAGGCCGGGGAUUACGACGGGCCGCCGCAGGCGGAGGAUUCCGCCUCCUCAUCCGGUAAACUGUUUUUUUUUUUUUUUGUUUUUUUUUUUUUGUGAAUUUGAGGACAUAAUUCAUUUUCUUCGGAUAUAUCUUUUGCUAGAUUACAAAAAAGAUGCAUGAUCAAGUCACAAUAUAUUUCUUGGGUGGUUUAAUGAUUAACCAGUAGCUUUUUAACAGUAUAAUAUAUUGAUCAGUCUCAAUUUUAUCGCUCCAUACAUCUGUAUCUAUAUAUAUAUAUCGAGCGAGGUUGGUAUUUCAAGAAGUGCGGAGCCCUCCGUAUUUUUAAGUCUUUUUCAAUAUUGAAACUUUCGAAUCGACGACCGGUUCCGUUAAACUUGAUCUAGAGUAUUUGAAGUAUCUAGAAAAUAAAUUUUGUGAUUUUUCGAUAUCAUUUGCCUAGUGAUCAAAGGGGCUCAAAAUCAAUAAUUUUAAUGGCCGUGGUGAGCCGUUUGCAAGUUUAACGAUGUAGAAAUAUCCAAAUCACAUAAAAUUUUGAUAGAAAAUUUUUUAUACUAUAUAAAACAAGAUCAAUAUCUUUAUCUAAAAUUUUAAUAUCAUAUAAUCACAUUUUGUAAGAUUUUUAUUUUCAGCAGUUAAUUUUGAGCUCCUUCGAUCACUAGGCAAAUGAUAUUGAAAAGUCGCAAAAUUUAUUUUUUAGAUACUUCAAAUACUCUAGAUCAAGUAUAACAGAGCCAAUCGUCGAUUCGAAAGUCCCAACAUCGAAAACGACUUGAAAGCAUGAAGGAUUCCAUACUUCCAGAAGUAUACCAGUCUCACUCUAUAUUUAUCUAUCUACUUACAUAUAUCUAUAGUGUACAGUAGAGGUGAUUUUAAAUAUACAAAAGCCUUCGUGCUCCCAAUUUUUUUCGAUUAUGGAAUUUGCCGAAUUCGGUGAUGGGCUCCAUUAGAUUUAAUCCAAAGUAUUUGAAAUAUUUAGAAAAUAAAUUUUAUUAUUUUUGACAUCAUUCACCUAGUGAUCGAAAUGAUUUAAAAUUAUCAAUAAUUUUAAUAGUCAAAGUGAGCCGUUUGCAAAGCUAAUGGUGUAGAAAUAUUCAAAUUAGACGAAUUUGUGGACAAUUCUUUAUAUUACCUAAAAGCAAGAGCAGAAUUUCAAUUGAUUUUUUUUUAUAUUAUCUUAAAAUAAGAUCAAUAUCUUUUAUCUACAAUUUUAGUGUUGUAUUAUUAAUUUCUGUGAGUUUUAUUUUUAAUCAUUAAUUUUGAGUCUUUUUAAUAACUAAGUAAAUAAUAUUGAAAAAUCGAAAAAAGUGUUUUCUACAUACUUCAAAUUAAUAUUCUAGAUCCAGUAUAAUAGAGUCGAUCGGUGAUUUAAAUUUUAUCAUAAAAAAAAAAAUAACUUGAGAGUACAUAGGCUUCAGUGCUUCUAAAAGCACUUUAGUUGGACUCCUUAUAUAUAUUAGCUUUUGAUAAAGCUAUGGUUCUUUUAAAAUUACUCAUUAAUUUGAAUAGUAAUAAUUCAGACCUUUUCUUAAGUUGAUCCUUGAAAAAUUUCUAAUUUGCUAAAUAACCUAAUUAAAAUUUUAAUUGAUGAACUAGUCUAUUUUACCUAACUCAGCGUCAUGUUGGAAAGAGAAGUGAAAGACGGUGAAUCAAGUUACUGAGAUUUUUGUGUGGUUAACAGGAUUGUAUGCGAAGAAUAUAAAUUAAAACAGUGAAUUAUUCAUCGUUUUCUUUCUAAAGAGAAAAACGGUGAACGAUUUAUUAAUUGGCUUUUAUGUUUUAUUAAGAACAGUGAAUUGUUCAGCAUCUUUGAGUUUUUA